rnacentral:lncRNA from 1 species
UCAACAAUCUUCUUUCUCUUCUCUUCCAUCACAAAUUUCUGAUCUACCACCACAAAUUUCUUCACAGAGAGUUAGGAAACCUUCUACUCAUCUGUCAGAUUAUGUUUGCAAGAAUACGCAAUCUGAUCAAAAAUAUCCUAUAUCUUCUACUAUCUCUUAUUCUCAAAUUUCUCCAUCUCACAUGUGUUAUAUCGAUAAUAUCACAAAAAUUCUUAUUUCCACCAAUUUUCCUGAGGCACAAGGCACUAAAGAAUGGUGUGAAGCUGUUGAUGUUGAGAUUGGUGCUAUGGAAUCUACGAAUAAAUGGGAGAUUACUACAUUACCAAAGGAUAAGAAGGCAGUGGGUUGUAAAUGGGUGUUUACUUUGAAAAUUUUGGCAGAUGGUAGUCUUGAGAGGUAUAAGGCUAGACUGGUUGCUAAGGGUUAUACUCAAAAGGAGGGUCUUGAUUAUACGAAUACAUUUUCUCCAGUUGCUAAGAUGACAACGAUCAAGUUGCUGUUAAAGAUAUAUGCUUCUAAGAAAUGGUUUCUGAAACAGCUUGAUGUGUCUAAUUCUUUCUUGAAUGGGGAGUUGGAGGAAGAAAUAUACAUGAAGUUACCUGAAGGAUCUGCUGAGAGAAAGGGUAUUAUCUUACCAUCAAAUGCAGUUUGUCGUUUAAAAAGGUCCAUUUAUGGUUUGAAACAGGCUUCUAGACAAUGGUUUAAGAAAUUUUCCGCAUCUUUACUCAGUUUGGGAUUCUUCAAAAUACAUGGAGAUCACACACUGUUUCUCAUAGAUUGUGGAGGUGAGUAUGUGGUUGUGUUGGUGUUGGUGUAUGUUGAUGAUAUUGUCAUUGCUAGUACUAAUGAGGAUUUACAUAAUCUUUUCAAGUUAAGAGACCUUGGAGAUUUGAAGUAUUUUUUGUGUUUGGAAAUUUCUAGAACUGAAGUAGGCAUCUCAUUAUGUCACAGAAAAAAUGCUUGGGAGUUGUUGGCAUCUAUUGGUAUGAUUAACUGCAAACCUGUUUCAGUUCCAAUGAUUACAAAUGUGAAACUGAUGAAAGCUGAUGGUGAGUUACUUGAGGAUAGAGAACAGUAUCGUCGUAUUGUUGGAAAGUUGAUGGAUUUGACUAUAACUAGGCCGGAUAUCACUUUGCGGUGAACAUGUUAUGUCAAUUCUCUUCUACACCUAGGACUACUCAUCUUCAAGCUGCUCACAGAGUUCUUCAAUAUAUUAAAGGCAUUGUUGGUCAAGGCUUAUUCUAUUCUGCUUCAUCUGAUCUUACUCUGAAAGGAUUUGCAGAUUCAGAUUGGGUUUCUUGUGCUGAUAGUCGUCGCUCUACUACUGGUUUCACUAUGUUUGUUGGUGAUUCACUCAUAUCAUUGAGAUCUAAGAAGCAACGUGUUGUUUCUCGAUCAUCAGCUGAGGCUGAAUAUAGAGCGCUUGCACUUGCUACUUGUGAGCUGGUAUCGUUACAUACAUUGCUCGUUUCUUUGACGGCUGCUACUUCAGUUCCUAUCUUGUUUUCAAACAGUACAACCGCGAUCUAUAUAGCAAUCAAUCCUGUCUUCCACGAGAGAACAAAGCAUACUGAAAUUGAUUGCAACACCGUGCGAGAAAAGGUAGAUGAUGGUGAGUUAAAGUUGCUACACGUUCGCACGGAAGAUCAAGUAGCUGAUAUCAUGACUAAACCUCUGUCCCCUCACCAAUUUGAACAUCUUAAGUUCAAGAUGAGUAUUCUCAACAUCUUUGAAUCCUCAUCUUCAGGGGGCAUAUGAGAAAGUGUUGGUUUAUUUAUGUGGUUUAGUUGAUUAUGUAUUUCGGUUAUGUUAACGGGUUGUAUAGUCAUAGUAUAUGUACUUGUACAAAUACAUUUUACAGAGUUAAUGAGAAAAUAUCUCCAUCAAUCUCUAACAAACUCUCUCAUCUCUCUCAAUCGUAAUAGCUUUCGCUUCCGCGUUCCCGCUUCCGAUUCCAUGCAACUUAAAUAUGGGAAGUUAAGAAAGAUGAGAAUUAUAUAUUUUAUAAUAUUUUCGAUUAAGUCCUCAAUGUUUGUAAGAUAUUAGUAAACAACCUCGAAGUAUUUUACUUUUACAUUGUUUUUCACAAGAAUCAAUUGAACAAAUAGUUUUGGAUAAUUACAUUAUAUUUCUUAAAUGUUUACUAAUUUACGAAGUAAAUACUAGUUAGACUAAAAUAAAAAUUAAUGUUAGAAAAUUCGACAAAAAUUUAUAUAUAUGGUUGAGUAUUGAUUCCAUUUAGUUCUCUAUGAUGACUAAAGAGAUAAUUUUUUACUACUCGAAUUAAUAUGACAAAAAAUUUAUAAGUGAUAUUAUCUUACAAUUGCCAGUAUAUAUAUGUAUAUAUUUUGCACAAUGUCAAAAUUACAAAGUCACAAAACCAAACAAACAUAUAAAUAUCGUCAAAGUAAGAUGCAAUUGUAAGUUUUUACAUGUUGGCUUGAAGAGACGCGAAUUUGCUUCGAAUUGAGAUACUAAAAUAAUUUAUAAGAUAAAUUGUUUUUAUUUACAAAAAUUAACACAAUAUUAUAUGUUAAAUAUCAUAUUCAAAAACCUUAUAAGAUCUCGAAAAACAUUUUUAUAUCCAUUUUUGAGAUUUUUUGUUUAAAAUAUGUUUUUUUACCAUUUAUUGAAAUAUUUACACUCUAUGGAGAUUGUCUUUAAAUUUAGUUUUUUUUUUCUUAUCCCAUUAAUGAAAUUAUUUGAAAACAAAAAUAAAAAUCUUAAAUUAAUCUUGAUAAAAGGAAAAUAUACUGUUUAAAAUAUUUUUUAACAUAAUGUUUUUUAAAUGUCCUAUUCUGUUUUGGGUUAAAGCCUAUAUUAAUUGACAUAUUCACAAUUUAGUCCAUAUACUUUCUUUUGUUCUACAUAUAAGAAAACAAACAAAGAGUUUCUGAAGAGAAAAAAAAUAAUUAAAAAAAGUGAUUCAAAUCCGGCCACCGUCAUUGUCGCCGUGACAAGCACCACCGUCUCUGAAGCUUCAAUCUACUUAAUGAUGCAAAGCUUCCACCAUUAGCAGCAGCAGCUGAUUUUGUUGUUCUCGUCAGCUUUACCAACUGACGCCUCCGCUUCUCUUCUACCUUUAACGUCUUCUUUUCAAAGAGAGGCCGCCCUAUCUAGUAAUUGCAAACACAUUUGGUAUGUCAUGAAGUUGUUGUUAUCAGCCAGUCAUUGAUUAGUGUUAGAAUGCGGGCUCAAAAGUUUGAAACAUGCAUGUCUACAAAAGGUGUUCAAGAUUAAACGUUGUGGUUGUGUUAUCGAGGUAUGAUCUUUGGAAAAUCAAGAGACAGAUCCAAUUCCUAUUACCGACUCAUCUUCAUCUUCUUACCAUUACUUUUAGUGCGCUCCAAACGCUAGAGGUUUUGUUGCAAUCAUCAACAGAACAUGAUGAUUAAGGAUGUUAAUAUGGGCUUAUAAUUUAGGAUCGGCCCGAGUCCGUUAAAAAAAUAUAAGCCCUAACCCUAAUAAAAUUAAAUAAAAGAUUUUGGGCUAAGAUAAGGCUAUACUCAAAUUGUUAUGGGCUAAAAUAGGGUUGGCCCUAUUACACUCUUUUAUUAUUCUCUGUUUUUUUUUUUUUCUUCUCUUUCUCCCAAACGCUCUUCUUCUUCGAUCUCUUCUUCUUCAAUCUCUUCUUAUUUGAUUUCUUCUCUGAAACCAUAAGAGUUGAAGAUUUGAUCUGACUAUAUAGAGAAACAGAAGCUUGGUGAAGUAGCAACAACCCUAAUUUUUCAAUCCCUAAAGGUGAAGUUUUUGUUCUUCUUUUUCUUUGAUUCUACUCUUUUUCGUCACAAUAGCAAAAUAGUGAUCUGGGUUGGCAUUUUUAUUGAAGGAUUUUGGUGGGUUCGUGUUAGAUUUUGGUGGGUUUAGGUUGGUGUUGGGUUUGGGUUCGUGUCAGAUUUUAAUUUUAGAGAUUCAUGUAUGUAUUUGAUCUUAAUUAGCUUUGAUGAUACUCAUAUCCAACUAGUAUAUUUGUACGUUGAUGGUUUUUACUAAAUAUCUACUCUUCUGCUAUCUAGGAACAUAGCUUAAGCUAUGUUUAGGGUUUAGUUAUGCAGCAAGUUUAUUGGAGAUCCAUGUUACUUAGUGUCUUGCAGGCCUAUGAUGAUGCGAGAACUUUGAGUCAAAUACUAGUUGGAUUUUACUAAAGUCUUUAUUUAAGACUUAGCUAUGACUUUAUGUUGAUGUAAUUAAAAUUUGUUAUGUAGUAUGGAUCAGCAAUCACUGGAAAGAAUUGCUCUUCUAGAAGCUGAAAACGAACGCACGAAGAUGGAGAUGAAUGCUGAAGUUGAAACUCAAGGGCAGAACCAAACAGAAAGUGUCACUCAACCAUGUCAACGAGCUAAACGGGUACGUAAAAAACAGAGAGCUUUGUGUUGGGACGAAUUUACAUCCGUAGGAAUAGAGGAAGAUGGAAAAGAAAGGGCUAGAUGUCACCAUUGUGGUAUUAAGUUGGUAGUAGAAAAGUCAUAUGGAACAUCAACAAUGAACCGCCAUCUAACACUUUGCCCCGAAAGGCCUCAGCCUGAAACUAGACCUAAGAAUGAUCAUAAAGUUGAUCGAGAGAUGACUUCUGAGAUAAUAAUAUAUCAUGAUAUGCCUUUUCGAUAUGUUGAAUAUGAAAAGGUGAGGGCUAGAGAUAAAUUUUUAAACCCGGAUUGUCAACCUAUAUGUAUACAAACAGCUGCACUCGAUGUGUUUAAGAGAUUUGAGAUAGAGAAAGCUAAGUUGAUAGAUGUUUUCGCUAAACACAACGGUCGGGUGUGUUUAACAGCAGAUUUAUGGUCGUCUCGAAGUACAGUGACAGGAUAUAUUUGUGUAACUUCACAUUAUAUUGAUGAAUCAUGGAGGCUAAACAAUAAGAUAUUAGCUUUUUGUGAUCUUAAGCCUCCAAACAAUGGUGAGGAAAUAGCUAAGAAAGUUUAUGAUUGCUUGAAAGAAUGGGGUUUGGAGAAAAAGAUAUUAACUAUCAGGCUGGAUAAUGCUUCUGCGAACACUAGUAUGCAAACUAUUCUUAAGCAUCGACUUCAGAGUGGUAAUGGGCUAUUGUGUGGAGGAAAUUUUUUGAAUGUGAGGUGUUGUGCACAUAUAUUGAAUCUGAUUGUGCAAGCCGGGUUAGAAUUAGCGAGUGGUCUGUUGGAGAAUAUCAGAGAGAGUGUAAAGUUUGUAAAAGCAAGUGAGUCAAGGAAAGAUUCGUUUGCAACUUGCUUAGAGUGCGUAGGGAUCAAGAGUGGAGCUGGGUUGUCUCUAGAUGUCUCCACUCGUUGGAAUUCAACCUAUGAAAUGCUAGCAAGAGCUUUAAAAUUCAGAAAAGCAUUUGCUAUUUUGAAUUUGUAUGAAAGAGGUUAUUGUUCUUUGCCUACAGAAGAAGAGUGGGAUCGUUGAACUGUGGAAAAUUGAGUUGUUGUUGAUGAAAUAUGCUAAUUGUGAUGAUGUUGAUGUAAGAGAAAUGGCUAAGAAGAUGCAAAGGAAAUUUGCAAAGUAUUGGAAUGAAUAUAGUGUUAUUCUAGCUAUGGGAGCUGCCUUAGAUCCAAGACUAAAGUUGCAGAUACUUAAGUCAGCUUAUAACAAAGUGGAUCCCGUCACGGCCGAGGGAAAAGUUGAUAUUGUGAGGAAUAAUCUGAUUUCGCUUUAUGAAGAAUACCAAACUAAAUCUGCAAGUUCUUCGAACUCUUCAACCACACUUACUCCACACGAGCUUCUCAAUGAAUCGCCACUUGAAGCAGAUGUGAAUGAUGUAAGUAUAAUAAUAUAUUUGAAUAUCUUUUACUAGUUCUUGUUUUUGUUUAACUAAUUUUGUGUGUAUUUGUGUAUUUACAGGAUCUUUUUGAGCUUGAAAGUAGUCUCAUAUCUGCUUCAAAAAGUACCAAGUCAACUUUGGAAAUCUAUUUGGAUGAUGAACCAAAAUUAGAGAUGAAGACUUUCUCUCACAUGGAAAUUUUAAACUUUUGGAAAGAGAAUCAACAUAGGUAUGGUGAUUUAGCUUCAAUGGCAUCUGAUUUGUUAGUAUCCCAAUCACCACAGUAGCAUCAGAGUCUGCUUUCAGCGUUGGAGGAUGGGUGUUAAAUCUUUUUAGGAAUCGUCUUCUUCCCCAAAUGUGCAAGCAUUAAUUUGCACCCGCAAUUGGCUUCGUGGAUAUGCAGAUCUUGAAGGUAAAAUUGUAAUUUGAAGUUACUAACUUAUAUGAAUCAUUCUCUUAAUUUAACUUGUAUCAUUAAAUUGCAGGAGACAUCGAAGAACUUUUUGCUGAAGAAGAUAAUGAUGCUACAAAGAUGACAAGUAGUUCAGGAGUUGGAGAUUCUAACAUAUGAUGAGAAGUUUUUUUUGCUCAGUUUUUUUUGGACAAAUAUCGGUAACAAUGUUUUAUAUUUCAGCAAAAUGACAAGAAACAAUGUUUUAUAUUUCAGCAAAACAAUAGUGUUAUUAUCUUAUAAUUGUUUUUGUUUGAAAAACCUUUCUCUUUAAAUAUAAAGAAAAAACUUAAGGGCUACAAAGGGCCAGAAAAGGGCUCAACCCUGUUUUAAUUUUUUUAGGGCUUAAAAAGGGGUAGGGCUCACUUAGGGCUGAGCUUUAAAUAAAUAGGGCUGGGUUGGGCUGGGAAACCUUUUUUAACAUCCCUAAUGAUGAUGAUAAGAGAUGCGUUUUAAGCUUUUUGGGGAGUCUUUUUUUUUUGGUGGAAUGAGGGAGACUAUGUCUCCCAUUUUAUUAAAGAAAACUAAAAGAAAUUACAAUCUAACAAGUCGCAGGCAUGAGAGCCCUCUAGCGUCAUCCAGCAUAAUCGAAUUAACAAAAUCUGGCUUAGUAUAAAAAAAAUGAAAACCUAAAGGAAGAGAGAACGCAUAGUUUGCUAACCCAUCCGCAAGGCGGUUAGCCUCCCUAUACACGUAUGAAACUCGGAUUAUCCAGUCCUUUGAAAUGAAGCCAUAGCACAACCGUACUAGGAAAGACAGUGGAUGUGCAUCGCUAAUCCCUGUCGUCAAAAAGCCCACCACAAUCUCAGAAUCCACCUCAAGCCUGACUCUCGGAGAUCGUCGUUCCCAAGCCAUGUAUAACCUAUAGUAAACACCCCAUAGCUUUUCGGGGAGUCUUGGAUAGAGUUAAAAUCAUCUAUACCAUUUCUCCUAAGCUUUUUGAUGCAGUGGCGCAACAUUAAACCCCAAUCUCAUUUUCUUCAGUCUGCAGUUUGGUUUAUAAAUAAACUAUCUAUCACUUGAUUAAUAAAUUAAUCAAAGAUUUUUGUUGAUAAUUUGGGUUUAACUGGAUAAAAGGGUUAAACCACCAGACUCUGUCAACAGUAGGGAAUAAAUAUCAUCUUUAUCUUUUAUGUUUUCAUAAUAAGUAUGAGCAGCCUCAAUACUCAUAUUACAUUUUCAAUUUUCAACAAAAUUGUUAAUAGGAGAAGACUAAGUAUAAUACUAUUCAACAACUGUUCAAUAAAACAAAAACUAGGAAACAAAUGGAUUCAACAAGUAAAGGAUGAUAAGAGUUGAAAACUCAUAUAUAUCUAACUAUCUCUUUAUUAUUAAAAGGGAAGUACAAAUUGAAAUUUUGUCUAAUUUGGCCUUAAUUUAGAUUUCAAUUUUGGAUUUUGUUCUUUGCUAUUUAAAAUCAUUAAGGAUAAUUUGGUCUUAACAAUCUCCUAAACUUUACAUGAUCCGAUUCAAUCUAAACCGUUCAAUAAAAUUAAUUUCCUUCAAUCUAAAAUGUUCAACAAAAAUAAGGAAUCUAUGUCGUUUUUGAAAUCAAAGUAUGAUCACAUUCCAUCCCUGAAAAUACUAUAUUCAAUCACGAAAUCAAUAAUCAAUAAUAUUCAAAUUAUAUAUUACGAUUCUUCACUAAUCACUAGAAAUUUAUAUUUAUAAAUUUAAGAUAUUAAAUUUAUUCAAAUAUUUAGUAUAAGAACCAAAUAAACCGAUUGCCCGCGGUAAACUGCUGGUUAAAGUUAUUAUUAUUUGAGAAGGACUUUGAAUUUGAUACAUCUAACUAUUGGCAAGUGGGGUUGGGAAAAAAAGAAUAAGAUAAGACAAUAGGAUUCGCUUGGGCCAGACCAUAUCCAAAUGCAACGAAUAAAGCAAUAUAGAUAUUAACGACACGUCACUACAAAUAUCACAAAGAUAUGAAUUCGUCAAAAAUAGGAAAAAGAAGAUCCGACCUGCCGGAAUCGAACCAGCGACCUAAAGAUUAUCUGUUUUAAACAACUACAGUCUUCCGCUCUACCAACUGAGCUAAGGUCGGAUGAUGAUAUGAUUCAACACUAAAUAUAUUUAUACUAUAUCAUAAAGUAUUUGAAAACGUGGAAUUUUUUAUUUAUUUGAACACGUGGAAAAUUCAAGAAGGUGAAAGAGAUAUUUUUUGGUUUCAAUGAUUUGAAACUGUAUGUGCAUAUGGAAAAUUCAAGAAGGCCAAAGAGAUAUUUUUUGGAUUUUGAUGAUUUUUCCAGCCAUUAGAAUUUAGAAACUAUGUACAUAUAUAUAUACCAAAAAGACAACUCUUCUAUAGUUGGACCGUGGACGGUGCCAAAGUGUAAAACAGAUUGUCCACUUUCGUGUCAAUAACACAAUUAUUUGAAAACACCAAUCAAACUUGUCAUGGUUUUGCAAGUCCAAAAGACCAAAAGGCCCUAUUCUUUGUCUACAUAAAGCUCACAUGCAUCUCUCUCUCUCUCUCUCUCGUUCAUAAUGAGAUAUUAAGAUCAACAAAAGGAAAGAAUGGCAAAAGCUAUGGAGCUUUGGGUGGGAGAGAUGAAGAAGAUGAGUGAGAAGAUAAACACUAGAAAUCCAUUGAUGCAAAGGAAGAAUUCAACAUCUGUUGUGUCCAAACAACAACAAGGAUCAGAAGAAGAAAGAGGACUUAUUAACCAAAAGAUUAGAGAGAAAAAUGAAGCUGUAACUAUGUCUGAGCUCACUGUUUGUCUUCUCAUGGACCGUUUUGUUCCUUGGUGAUCUUUCCAUACCCAACUACUUCUAGAUCUCUUCUUUGGUGAUGUGUAUAUAUAUAUCUAGAAACUACAUGUAGUAUGUCUAUAUAUCAGAUUUUGUUUGUGCAGACCAUGUUUUUAAGUUUCCUUGUAAACCUGUGAAAGUAAUGUGUUUGAGAAACAUAUUUUUAUUACUUUAAUCAAUAGUGUUCAAUUAUUAUUAACCGGGAUUUAUAUGAAGAUGGAACUUUCUAUUCACUCUGUAAUUAGGAACAUUCGCAUCAUUCAGUAAGAAAUAAAACAAGAAAUGAUUAUAAUUUUUCUAAUAACGUAGGAAUUCUGAGGGAACCCAAAACUAAAAUUUGAUUGAAAGAUUUUGAAGUGGCCAAUCAUGAAUGAGAUUGCUGGAAGAUAUCAUCAAUAUUCAAUACAGAUAACGAUUUUUUUUUUUUUUUAUUGAUACCAAAUGAGCUUUCGGCUUUUGGCCCAGACGGAAACAACGGUUACAAAAGGUUUGGGCUUUGGGCUUUGGGCUUUUGAUCCACAUGACGAUCAUAUAGUUCUUUCCUUCAACACAAAACACUUGAAGUGUAUCUUAUCAACUAAACUCUAUUCCAGCAAAAUUAUUUCAAAAUUAGAUAUAUGGGAGAAUUUUUACAGGCCAUUCUAGAUUUUCAUUAACGCUGUGAUUUAUCCGUUAAUAAGUACGAUUAAGAGUAAAACGACGUCGUUUGCAAUUGAAACAAAAAUCCCCAAUUCAGAAAUAAGAAACCCUAGAUCCUCAAAUCUCUUCUUCUUUUCUUCUUCGAAUUCACUCCUGUAUUUUGAAAUCAAAGUGAAUUGCAAGGCACAAAGUUCAUGCUUUAAAGCACUGCAAAUGGCGAAGUCAUGAUUUAUAUGGCAUUUUUCCUGUUUUUGUUUCAAUUGCAAACGACGUCGUUUUGCUCUUAAACGGUCUCAUUAACGGAUAAAUCACAUCUUCUAAUUGCUCUGUUUAUUCAGUUGAUGUUGUGACUAAUUUGGCUCUGUCAACGAAAGUUAGUGAUUUUAUCUGAAGUCAACACGUAAUUGAUGAUUUUAAUCACAAAGUACAAAGUUUAUGUUUAAAGCACCACAAAUUGCGAAGUCGUGAUUUAAAUGACAUUUUUCCCGUUCUGGUUAAACUAAGUUUCUAUUAUUUAAUAUGGAUAUUGUGGAGCGUAGUGUCAGCACUCAGCAGCUUAUUUAACGUGAUACUCUUUAACCGAGUAACAACUAGUGAGGUCAUAUUCAGGACCGAUCCAACAAUAUUGAGGGUUUUACUCCAAGUAAAAUUUUAGUUUUAUUUUUAAUUAUCAUAAACGACAUAAAUAUAAUAUGGAAAGAUCACAAAUACUGAUUAAAAACUAAAAUCAUCAAAACGAAAAAGAAAAAAGAAAAAAUUGGGUUCAACUCUCAUGAGUUAUUAAACAUUUUAGGUUUUAGGCUUAAAUCUUUAAAAAAAAUCAGAACUGAAAAACGAAAAAUUCUAAUUUUAUUUUGGACUCUGAUUCAUAGCUUAUGUCGCUUAUGUAGUUAUGCUAGGGAUGAAUCUGUAUUUCGUUACCGUAAUGAGAGUUCGAUACUCUCUUACUUGUUACGAUUCUGGAGCAUGUUACAUUUUUUUCUUUCCGUCAACAACAACUUUAAUAUGGUAAAACAAAAUUUAUUUUUAUUUGGCUGGUCCUACUCAAGACAAAUCUUCUGCCGACAUCACAUAAUCAUAUUAAAAACCAUAACUUCUGCCACUCUGUUUUUUUUUUUUUUUGUAACCAUUAACUGAUUGGAUUUUGAUCCAUCUCAUCUGAUUUUUUAGCUCAACAAUUUACUUGCACAUUUUCUAUUUGGUUUUAUUUAUACUUAGUUACAUAUAUGAUUAUCGAACUAGUAUCUCUUUAUAAUUAAGUAUUUUUCUAUUUUUUUUUAAUUUAGAUUUUUGUGAAUUCAUUUACAGUAGAAAACUGUAAAACCAUAUGGUCUAAUUAUAGAAUGAAAACUUCAACGAAUCCAUACAACUUAUUGGCUAAAUAUAAUAAAUCUGCUUGAAGCAUAUUGUUAUUAUUUAGUUGGAUUUGACGAUCUCUGACUUUAAUGUAUACCGACAUACCCUAUGAUUUAGAUGUUGAUUUUUCCCAUUCUUAAUAUAUCCAUGUUAAGAGAUUCCACCAUAACAUAUCUAAUUAUUUGCAUUGUAAUAAAUAUUAUCAUUAAAAAAAAAUACAACUGGACAGCUGGCUCGUCCCAUUGUUUCUUACGUCCACCAAUUACAUUUGUUAAAGCAAACUUAUUAGAACGUUCAUGUGUGAGAAGUUGGUGUCGACAUGUGUCUAAGGUCUAUGUCAGAAAUCGGAUUAGCUUAUUAAGUAAACUAUACUAUAUCAUUGUUAAUAUAGAUAAAAUAUCUAGUUCGUCCAAAUUAAACUAUUUUCAUAACUGCCACGUGGCGUAAACGUAUCCAUCGAGUCACUUGUAAUAUCUUUAUAACCAAAGUCUUCCAACACAUUCAUCACCAUCUAUCUACUCUUUACUCUCUUCUCUUCUCACAUCAAUUAUUCAUAGUUCUCUCUUCUCCGGCAAGAAAAGAUGCCUAUGAAGUCGUUGAGGAAUGACCAUGGAACCCUUAAGGCCAUGAUCGGAUCCGAUUUCAACGAGCUCACUAUCGCUGCUAAGAACCUAGCUACACACGCCUUCACACUCACUGGUUUAGGCUUUGGUACCUCUGUCCUCGAAUGGGUUGCUUCAAUCGCCGCCAUGUAACCAUUCUCUCUGUUUCUAUGUCUCUUUCCUCUAUCCGUUUCUUGUGUUGAUCUUGAUGAGGUUUUGAUGUAAUAAAUGCAGAUACUUGUUGGUGUUGGAUCGAACCAAUUGGAAGACGAAUAUGCUCACAUCACUUCUCAUUCCUUACAUCUUCUUCAGUCUUCCUUCCUUGAUCUUUGGUAUUUUCAGGUAUAACACAACAAAAGCCAGAGACUUUUUCUUUACUUAUCAUUAUGUUCCUAAACCCUAACUUGUGUCUGAAACUUUGACAGAGGAGAAAUUGGUAAAUGGAUUGCUUUCGUAGCUGUUGUUGUACAACUCUUCUUUCCUAAACACGCCAGAGGUUUGUCUACUUUUUUUCAUUCACUCUCCAUUACAAGCAACAAGACUUUGAUUCUGAUUUGGCUUAUCUCUGUUGUUUGUGUUAUUAGAAUACCUGGAAUUACCGGUGGCUUUGGUUCUUCUCGCCGUGGUGGCACCAAAUUUGAUUGCUGGCACAUUCAGAGACAGUUGGAUUGGUUUAGCUAUAUGUUUAGGUAUUGGAUGUUACUUGCUUCAAGAACACAUUAGAGCUUCAGGUGGAUUCAGAAAUGCAUUUACUAAAGCCAAUGGUAUCUCCAACACCGUCGGGAUCAUCUGUCUCGUCGUCUUCCCCGUCUGGGCUCUUAUCUUUUAAGUUAACUCUUCAGUUUCUUUUUCCAUUUGUCUUUUUUUUUUCAUGUAAGAGUGAUUGCUUUGUACGAUCUGUCUCUCCUCGUAACUCUAUCAAUGAAUGUGAUUUGAAUAAGAAUUGCUUCAGCAAUAAGAUAUCAUCAUGAGGUGUUAGUGUGGAAUAAAUCUCCUCUUUCAUCAUUAUAGCUUUAAUGGGUAACGUUGUAUCAUCUUACAAUGUGUACCACUUCUUACCGCUUUCUCGUACCACCACAAAACUUGUCCACAUUGUGUCACCAAUUGGUUUCUAUGUGGUUUUGUCAUCUUUGCUUCACCAGCUUACCAACGAAGCUCAACUUUUCUAGCUUUCUUCUUCUGCUCUUAGCUUGAGUGAUUCAGCCAUUUCUAUGGCCAACAAUGCUGAUGUUUCCUCAUCACCUACUAUUCCAUACCCGUCGAUAAAAGCUCUAUACGUCUCUUGACUCGGCUUAAAUCCUUUCCCAACCAUCUCAGCCUGAAUGUUCAAUGCUCUAUCCAUCUUCCCAUCUUCACACAACCUCUUUACCAACAACUCAUAACAAUUCCGACUAGGAUAAAACAUUGCUUCUCUCACCGCAUCCUUCACGAUAUCCGCAGCUUCAACAACUCUCUGUCCAUCCCUAUCAUCACAUAGCCCUUCAACUAACGCUUCAAUUGUUAAACCAUCUGCCUCAAAACCUUUCCUUUUCAUCUCCCUAUAAACAACCAAACCCGAAUCAACAUCCCCCGCUUUACAAUACCCGUUAACAAGAUGCUCAUACGUCAAACAAGUACACUCAAUCCCCUUCAACCCCAUAUCUCGAAAAAGCUCCUUCGCUUUCACAACUUCAAAGUUACUACAAAGCCCACCAAUCAUAGUGUUAUAAGCCACAAUAUCAUAAACCACUCCUCUCACCUUCAUCUCUUCCCAUACCUUCUCCGCUUCACUCAUCAAACCUCGCGCACAAUACGCCUCCAUCAAAACAUUAUAGCUAUAAACAUUCGGAGAACAUCCAACUUCCUCCUCCAUUUCUCUCCAUAUCCUCUCCACCAUCUCAGUCUCACCUUCUCUAUAAAAACUCACCAUCAUCGAAUUAAAAGUGGUCGCAUUUGGCUUAAUCUUACCUAUCAUCUUUUUAGCUUCAUCAACACUAACAUCAUCUAAACCAAAAACUUCUCUAUACAUCUUAUAUCCAUUAGAAGCACCUCUACGCCUAGAAACCUCUGUGAUCAAAGCAUUACAAGUACUAAUCUGUGCAUUGAUUCCUCUAGACCUUAACUUUCUCAUAACCAUCACAGCUCCAUCAAUCUCUUUCGAAUCAAGACAAGAUUUUAUCAACAAAUCGAAUACAAACGGAGCAGAGCCACAUCGAUUAUAACUCUUAAUCAACGAACGGAACACUUUCAAGACUCUGUCUUCGUCUUCGUCGGUGGCGGCGAGACGGAGAGCGAGACGUAUGAUUUCACUAGCGUGGCUUUUGAGACGAGAUCGAGAGAGGAUGUGGAUGAGAGUUGAGCAGGAGUGUGUGUCGUGAGAGCAGAGAGAGUAACGGCGAGUGAAGAGGAAGAAACGGAGAGAGAGGUGAGGAUUGUUGCGGAGGCAGAGAGUGAUUUCGGAGAAUUGAGAAGGUGUGAAGCCUGAAGGCUGGAGUGAUCGGAGAGUGGACCAACGGGAUUUGGAGCGGUGGUGUGUUAGGAUUGAGACGGCGUCGGAAAUUAGAGGAUCUGAUGGCGGAGACGGCGGAGAAGAGACGGUAGUGAGGAGAGAGAUUGAGAGGAUUGCAUCGGGUUUGGGUUUCCGGGUCGGGUCGAGUAUCCGUCUUAGUAUUGAAGUUGACAUUUUAAAAGUUUCUUUUACUUUCGAGUUGAACUCUCACAGUUUUAUACUCUGGUUUGGAGAAAAACUGGGUAAAAAAAUCUGACAAAACAGCCGAUUCCUGCAUAAACUUAGCUAACUAUGAACUGAAAGAAACAUAUACGUGGGGUUAUUGGCCCAAAGACAUAUAUAUGGUUCUCUUAUGCAACUCCCGAGUACUCUCUUUCUUUGCAUGGUUGAUACAUGAUCGGAUAGUAUCAGAAUUUUUCACAUUGUUUGGGAUUAAGAUUUUUAAGUAUUAUAUAAACGAUGUCACAAUUCUUAACUCUUGAGCUAGCUUUUGGGUUAAGUUAGGCCACAUUUCUAAUAGAUAGACAAUGUUUUUUGUUAUAAUGUUGAAGAGAGAAAAAAUCACCUCUUCUUCUCUUUUUGAUACUCAUCGUAAAUAUGGCUUUUCUUACGCAUAAAUUUUGUGGGAUUGACUUCCACACCAAUUAGAAUUAGGUUCUCUCUUCUCUACAUAACUUAACUCUUACCUCCGAUUAAACUCUUCCUCCUAAGGUAUGUCUUCCAAUCGACGAUUUACCGCAUUUGGAGGGAAAGAAACGCAAGGCGACAUGGGGAAAUAAAAUCAACUCACAACCGGCUACUCAAGCUCAUCGACAAGAACAUAGAAAUCGACUCAACUCAAUACGUGAAACAAUGGACAGAAACUACGACUACGGACGGAUGGAGUGGCUCACCCUCAGCUCCAUUCCGUAAGGCAGUCAUCAAGUUUUUUUUAUCACUUCAAGAUUCUUUCAAAAAUAUAAUUCAAAAACAGAUGCAUUCAUUGUAAAAACAUUUUUUGGUUUAAUACAAUUUUACAUUCAAUUUUUUAAAAAAUAAAAAUCUCACCUUUCUUAAAAAUAUUUUUUAAAUUUUAACUUUUUCUUUAUAGGUUUUUAAACCUUCGUAUUUUAGUAAAAGGUAAAUAUUUAAUAAACUUAGGCCAUCUACAUCGUUGAUUCUCAAAAAGAGUUUCUCAUGAAUAAAAUUUUAUUUAUUUUAAUCAAAUUCAGAUAAAGUAUUAAAUUUUAAUUAAAAAAUAAAAUCAACAAUUCCUGAAAAAACACAGAGACGAUUCUCACUUCUCUCUCCUCUUUUUCACUGCUUUAUAUUAUUUUAAUAAUAAAUAUCUCUUCUAGAUACUGCUGAUGAAGGUGCUUAUCAGAUUAGAUACCGGUUUAGCUGGUUAACUUAAAUCAAUUGUAUAGCUAUAGUAUAAAUACAUGUACAUUACACAUUAUGUGAUUGAAUGAGAAAAUCAGAUUAAUAUCCUCAACAAACUCUCUCUGAUCUUCUUCUUCGUAAUAUGGUAUCAGAGCCAACAACGCUCUCAUCUCCAUCGUUUUUUUUUCCGACUUGAUUUCUUCGUUCUGAGCUCCGAUUCGUCUUCCUCGUUGCAUUUCCUUAAGAUCCAAUGGUGACGGUAGCUCGUGUGACUCGGAAAUCGACUCGCUCGAAAGCUGGUACAAGUUCAGUGACUCGGAAGUCGCGAUCCACCGGUGCUGUUACUACUCCUCCGAAUUCUCCUCCGGUUAACAGAUCUGGAGCUUCGCGAGCCUUAACAUCAUCGGAAUCUGGAGAUCCGACUCAAUCUCCCUUUUUCCUGCAUAGUGCAGAUCAUCCAGGUUUGAACAUAAUCUCUCAUCGCCUUGAUGAAACGAAUUAUGGUGACUGGAGUGUUGCUAUGCUUAUUUCUUUGGAUGCUAAGAACAAAACUGGAUUCAUAGAUGGAACUUUAUCUCGUCCUUUAGAAUCAGAUUUGAAUUUUCGUCUAUGGUCUAGAUGUAAUAGCAUGGUGAAGUCUUGGCUAUUGAACUCUGUUUCUCCUCAGAUUUAUCGAAGCAUUCUCCGUAUGAAUGAUGCUUCUGAUAUAUGGCGUGAUCUUAAUAGUCGAUUCAAUGUGACUAAUCUUCCACGCACGUAUAAUCUUACUCAAGAGAUUCAGGACUUUCGUCAGGGAACUUUGUCUUUGUCUGAGUACUACACUCGUCUCAAGACAUUGUGGGAUCAAUUGGAUAGUACAGAGGCUUUGGAUGAGCCUUGUACUUGUGGUAAAGCGAUGCGUCUGCAACAGAAGGCGGAGCAAGCUAAGAUAGUGAAGUUUUUGGCUGGUUUGAAUGAGUCUUAUGCUAUUGUUCGCAGGCAGAUCAUAGCUAAGAAGGCUUUACCUAGCUUGGGAGAGGUGUAUCACAUUCUGGAUCAAGACAAUAGUCAACAGAGUUUCUCCAAUGUGGUUGCUCCACCUGCUGCUUUCCAAGUUUCUGAAAUAACACAAUCUCCUAGUAUGGAUCCCACAGUUUGCUAUGUUCAGAAUGGUCCUAAUAAAGGUAGGCCAAUUUGUUCUUUCUACAAUAGAGUUGGUCACAUUGCUGAGAGAUGUUACAAGAAACACGGUUUUCCUCCUGGUUUCACUCCAAAAGGUAAGGCUGGUGAGAAACUUCAGAAACCAAAACCUUUGGCUGCAAAUGUUGCUGAAUCUAGUGAAGUUAAUACUAGUUUGGAGAGUAUGGUUGGAAAUUUGAGUAAGGAACAGCUUCAGCAAUUCAUUGCUAUGUUCAGUUCUCAGCUUCAGAAUACUCCUCCGAGUACUUAUGCAACUGCAAGCACUUCUCAGUCAGAUAAUCUUGGUAUUUGUUUUUCACCAUCUACCUAUAGUUUCAUUGGAAUUUUGACUGUAGCUCGUCAUACUCUUUCUUCUGCAACAUGGGUGAUAGACUCUGGAGCUACACACCAUGUGUCUCAUGAUAGAAGUUUAUUCUCAAGCUUGGAUACUUCUGUUUUGAGUGCAGUGAAUCUGCCAACAGGACCCACUGUGAAGAUCAGUGGUGUUGGUACUUUGAAACUGAAUGAUGACAUUCUACUUAAGAAUGUGUUAUUCAUCCCGGAGUUUCGACUGAAUCUUAUAAGUAUAAGUUCUUUGACUGAUGAUAUUGGCUCCCGUGUGAUAUUUGAUAAAAAUUCUUGUGAAAUUCAGGAUCUUAUCAAGGGCCGGAUGCUUGGUCAAGGUAGACGAGUGGCGAACCUCUACUUGUUGGAUGUUGGAGAUCAGUCUAUCUCAGUGAAUGCAGUUGUGGACAUCAGCAUGUGGCAUAGGAGGCUUGGUCAUGCUUCUUUGCAAAGACUUGAUGCUAUUUCUGAUUCAUUGGGAACUACUAGGCAUAAGAAUAAGGGUUCUGACUUUUGUCAUGUAUGUCAUUUGGCAAAACAGCGAAAGUUAUCUUUUCCUACUUCGAAUAAAGUUUGUAAAGAGAUAUUUGAUCUACUACACAUUGAUGUUUGGGGUCCUUUCUCAGUUGAAACAGUUGAAGGAUAUAAGUAUUUCUUGACUAUUGUUGAUGAUCAUUCAAGAGCAACAUGGAUGUAUUUGCUUAAGACUAAAUCAGAGGUUCUUACAGUAUUUCCAGCGUUCAUUCAACAAGUGGAGAAUCAAUAUAAAGUGAAGGUUAAGGCUGUACGUUCUGAUAAUGCACCUGAGUUAAAAUUUACAAGCUUCUAUGCAGAAAAAGGGAUUGUUUCUUUUCACUCAUGUCCCGAGACUCCAGAGCAGAAUUCAGUUGUGGAAAGAAAACAUCAACACAUUUUGAACGUUGCUCGAGCUCUCAUGUUUCAGUCUCAGGUACCUCUUUCUCUGUGGGGUGAUUGUGUUCUUACUGCUGUGUUUUUGAUAAACAGGACUCCAUCACAGCUAUUGAUGAACAAGACUCCAUAUGAGAUUCUCACUGGUACAGCACCUGUUUAUGAGCAGCUUCGUACUUUUGGUUGCUUGUGUUAUAGUUCUACAUCUCCAAAACAAAGACAUAAGUUUCAGCCAAGGUCACGAGCUUGUUUGUUCUUGGGUUAUCCUUCUGGUUACAAAGGUUACAAGCUGAUGGACUUGGAGAGUAACACAGUGUUCAUCUCAAGGAAUGUUCAGUUUCACGAAGAAGUGUUUCCUCUGGCAAAGAAUCCGGGUUCAGAGAGUUCGUUGAAGUUGUUUACACCAAUGGUUCCUGUGUCCUCAGGUAUCAUAUCUGAUACUACUCAUUCUCCCUCUUCUCUUCCAUCACAAAUUUCUGAUCUACCACCACAAAUUUCUUCUCAGAGAGUUAGGAAACCUCCUGCUCAUCUGAAUGAUUAUCAUUGCAACACCAUGCAAUCUGAUCACAAAUAUCCUAUUUCUUCUACUAUCUCUUACUCUAAAAUUUCUCCAUCUCAUAUGUGUUAUAUCAAUAAUAUCACAAAAAUUCCUAUUCCCACUAAUUAUGCUGAGGCACAGGACACCAAGGAAUGGUGUGAGGCAGUUGAUGCAGAGAUUGGUGCAAUGGAGAAGACAAAUACAUGGGAGAUUACUACGUUACCUAAAGGGAAGAAAGCAGUUGGUUGUAAAUGGGUGUUUACUUUGAAGUUUUUGGCAGAUGGUAAUCUUGAGAGGUAUAAGGCACGUUUGGUUGCGAAGGGUUACACACAGAAAGAAGGCUUGGAUUACACAGAUACUUUUUCUCCGGUUGCUAAAAUGACCACUAUUAAGCUGUUGUUGAAAGUUUCAGCCUCUAAGAAGUGGUUUCUUAAGCAACUUGAUGUUUCUAAUGCUUUCUUGAAUGGUGAGUUGGAAGAAGAGAUAUUCAUGAAGAUACCUGAAGGAUAUGCAGAGAGAAAAGGAAUUGUGUUACCAUCUAAUGUUGUUCUAAGGUUGAAGAGAUCAAUUUAUGGGUUGAAACAGGCUUCAAGGCAGUGGUUCAAGAAAUUUUCAAGCUCUUUACUCAGUUUGGGUUUUAAAAAGACUCAUGGUGAUCAUACUUUGUUUCUGAAGAUGUAUGAUGGUGAGUUUGUGAUUGUUCUGGUUUAUGUGGACGAUAUUGUGAUAGCUAGCACUAGUGAAGCUGCUGCAGCACAAUUGACUGAAGAGCUGGAUCAACGUUUCAAACUGAGAGAUUUGGGUGAUUUAAAGUAUUUUUUGGGUCUUGAAGUGGCUAGGACGACUGCAGGGAUUUCAAUUUGUCAACGCAAGUAUGCUUUGGAGCUAUUACAGUCUACAGGUAUGCUUGCUUGUAAACCUGUUUCGGUCCCUAUGAUUCCAAAUUUGAAGAUGAGAAAAGAUGAUGGUGAUUUGAUAGAGGAUAUAGAGCAGUAUCGACGGAUUGUUGGUAAGCUAAUGUAUUUGACCAUAACAAGACCUGACAUUACAUUUGCUGUCAACAAGUUGUGUCAAUUCUCAUCAGCACCUCGGACUACUCAUCUCACUGCUGCUUAUAGAGUUCUGCAGUACAUCAAAGGCACGGUUGGACAGGGUCUUUUCUAUUCAGCAUCUUCUGAUCUUACUCUCAAGGGAUUUGCUGAUUCUGAUUGGGCUUCUUGUCAAGACAGUCGACGCUCUACUACAAGUUUCACAAUGUUUGUUGGUGAUUCCUUAAUAUCUUGGCGGUCUAAAAAGCAGCACACUGUUUCAAGAUCUUCUGCAGAGGCAGAAUAUAGAGCUUUAGCUCUAGCCACCUGUGAAAUGGUCUGGUUGUUUACUCUGCUUGUCUCUUUGCAGGCUUCACCACCAGUUCCUAUUCUGUACUCUGAUAGUACUGCAGCGAUCUAUAUUGCUACAAACCCGGUCUUCCAUGAGCGGACCAAGCAUAUAAAAUUGGACUGUCACACAGUUAGAGAACGCUUAGACAAUGGCGAACUCAAGUUGCUGCAUGUACGAACAGAGGAUCAGGUGGCCGAUAUACUGACUAAACCAUUGUUCCCCUAUCAAUUCGAACAUCUCAAGUCCAAGAUGAGCAUUCUCAACAUCUUCUCAUGCUCAUCUUGAGGGGGCCUAUCAGAUUAGAUACCGGUUUAGCUGGUUUAGUAUAGCUGGUUAACUUAAAUCAAUUGUAUAGCUAUAGUAUAAAUACAUGUACAUUACACAUUAUGUGAUUGAAUGAGAAAAUCAGAUUAAUAUCCUCAACAAACUCUCUUUGAUCUUCUUCUUCGUAAUAGUGCUCUUAACUUAAAUUAAAAUCAAACAAACUAUUAUAUUAAACAUAAAGAAAUCAAACAAACUAUUAUAUUAAAACUUUUUUUGAUAAAAGGUGAGCAAAUCAUAUCUUUAAGAUAAAAAAAUUAGUUGUCCGAAAAAAAAAAAAAAGAGAGAAAGAGUUUGUAAGGCUAAAUUUGUUGCCUCCAGACUCCAGGUUAUUGAGUAAGAACUACUUGGUGUGAGAUUCAUUAAUUGUAAGGUUGUGUCACAACGUACUGACUGUAUUUAAACAAAAAAAAAUGUAAUCAUAUAUAUAUCAGCUUCAUUUCCUAUAUAUACGGAAAAUCCAAUAUCAUAACGUCUUUAUCAUAGAUCAGCCCAAAUGAAAACAUAGAGAAUCGAAACCGCUUAAGGGUGUCUAUGAACCCUUAAUUAUUUAUUUGUUUGAUAACAUAGCACAUAAUGUAGAAAGGAUACAAAUAGUAGGAAUAUCACACCAGAAUAACGAGAAAAGACUCAUACAAGACUUGAAACAUAUAUAUUUUGCUUCACUCGGUAACUUGAUUAAUCAUAGACGCAUGACCAGUGAGCUUAACAACAAAAAGGAUGCACAUCAUUGACUCUUUCAGAGGCUUAUCGGUGAUGCUUAUUAUGAUAGUAUAUCCAAUCUGAGGUUGUUAAGAAAAAACAUAUCGUUAGAUCAUAAAAAAAAUUAAUCAAAUUUAGGUUUGAAAUUAAAUGCAGUAACUUAAUGGUAAAGAGAAGUUACUGCUGUUCUUUUUUCACGCGGAGUGAAUAUGUUAGGGAGAGUAAGCACAAUCGGGCCAGGUGCAACAGGGCAUGCUGUUAUAUCACAGAGGGAGUAACUUUUUGUAGAGACCGGAAACAUGCCUACCGCGAGCUUGAGAUUUACGGUUACUCCAUCAGAGAUUUCUUUGUCUGUUCAAACCAAAAUUUGUAUCAAGAUAAAAACAUAAUAAUGGAAAAGUUUACAUCAAUGUUGCGGGAAAAAGCAUUUUAGCAUUACUUACUUGUAACACCGGUUAUCGUAAUCUCUCCAUUACCGCUACGCUUAACCGGGUCUGGAGAUAUCUCCACAGAACUGACCUUUAGGGGAUACUCUUUACCAGCUACAACAAGAAGAACAAAAUGAUAUACUUUUUUUUUUUUCUUUAACUUCCACAAAUGAAAGUAAUUCUUUUUUUUGUUCUACAUGUAUAUGAAAAUAAAAUUUGAUACUUACUAUCGCAAGUUUGGAAUUUGGGGCCGCAUAAAGCAGGUGAGAAAAAGAGUGACACAAGGAGAAGAAGCAAAAGCUGGGUGUGAGAUAUCGCCAUGGAUAUCACUAGAGAAAAAUACUUUUCUUUUUAGUUUUACUAAGAAGUAUGUAGUACGUGUUAUGCUUACAUGCAUGCUUACUAUUUUAUAGGUGGUAGAUCAUAAGAUUUUGCAUUAAGGCUAAAGGUAAUACCCCUAUAUUACUUUAUAUCCCACGUUAUACGCGAUAAUCUUAAAAAUAUGGAUGUAAUGCUGUAUUAUAGGAUAUAUUUUUCUGUUUGGUAUGAUCUCGUUUGAGUACCAAGAAUCAUGUAAAUCACGUGUUAUGCUAAUAAGUUACAUGCAUACCUAUACUCUUUAUUAGUUGGUGGAUUGAUACAUAAGAUCUUCGUAAAAGUAUUUAUACGCGAGAACCUAAAGACAAGAAUUUAUAUGGAGUAUUUUUUUUUACAAGAAUUUAGAUAUAAUUUAAACCUAAAAUAUUGUAAUAAUUCAAACACUACCGACUUUUUAAAACUGUAAACGGAAAUUAAAAUAAGUUAGAUUGGGUUUAACAGUCGUUUAAGUAUUAUAUACAUUUUUAGAUAUAUAAAACCCAAAGUUUUAAGAAAAAAUAUCAAAGCAUUGGGUAUUUUCUUUGAGUUUUGAUAUUUUAGAUACCACGGUCUUGAUCCGGAAUAAGGUAUUUACCAAAAAAUGAUUGUCUAAACAAGACGUGGCUGUUUCAUUGUUGGAUGAUUAGUCUUAGUGAUUUCUAAGACUGUUUUUGUUGUUGUUCGACAACUAAAUCUAAUGAAAUUAAUCCGUCAAAUCUCUAGUGAAAUCAGUUGAAAAUAGACUGUUACUUGCGCCACGAUUUUUCUCAGGAGAGGAAUAAUGUCAAAAACUGUUUAUAUUUGUACAUUAGGUUAGUACCAUUAGCAGUGAGAGUAACAACGUCUAUCAUGCGUUAAUAGUAUACAUUAUUUCUGUUAAAAAGUAACAUAUUUUGAUAAUAUGUAUUAAGUUUAAUUUUAGGAAAACUACCCAUUUUACUGUAAAACAUACAUUUAUUUUAACAUUCAUUUAAGCAUUUUUUCAUUUCUGACAAUAAACCCAAAAAAUUUCUUAUAAAUGCAUUUUGCAUCUCUUUUUGAUGAAAAAUACCAAAAUUGAUUAAUCACCACCUAAAAAUGCAUUUUGCAUCUUCUUCGAGUUUCUAUUUUGUAUACCAAAAGAAACACAAACAAACAUGGGUGCUUCAUUUUCUGGAUCCUCCAUGUGUCAUAUGAUCACGAAUCACGAUCUCAAAUCAACGCAAAGAUAUCACAACCGGGAUCUGAAAAAUUAUAGCAACCGAGGUCGCAUCUUUUGAGUAUCCAUUUGUAUAAUAUCUCGGAGAAAUCAAAGUGGAAUAAGAAUGCAAGAUCCUCUAAAAAUAGAACUGUUUUGCAGAUUCUAACUUUGACCAUGUGGUUCGAAUAAUGAUAUCAGAAGCAAUGUUUUAGUUAUUGAUUAUUUUGCACAGGCUAAAGAGACGAUUUUUAGCUUAACGUAUGGUUGGAAAAAAAAACACUAAUCCUUCAUUUUUUAAGUUUCUAAAAAUAACCAUUUACCAUAAUCAAGUAGUGAUGGACCCAAGAUUUUUUUUACUAUGAUCGGAAGUAAAAUUUUAGAUUUUGUUUAAUGACAUAUAUGACGAGUUUCUCUUUUUUUUUUUUUUAAUUUUAUAUUAAAUUAAAUUAAAAAAGAACAGCCAAUGUUGUUACAACAAGUGCUAACUAUAGUUUAAAGGUUAUAAUCUAAAAACAGAUUCUAAGUUAUCUCUCUCUCAACCCAAACAUGUAAACCUCUGUCAAAUCUUCUAUCACCACUCUGUUUUAUAGCCAUCAAAUGAUUUCGAAUGUGCUUAUCUAUCCAAUUGAUAAGCCGACUUGAAGGGUUCGGGGAAGCCCCAUGUUUGCGCUCGUUUCGCUCUCGCCAUAGAGUAUAAAUCGUCACUGCAAAAUGCAACGGGUUAGGAAACCUGCACUGCGAUCCGGCCAAUUGUUUGAGUUUCUAAGCUUACAAAUUAAUUGGAUUAAGUUUCUAAUCAUUUGUGUUUCCGGGUCGGGUGAAGGAUCUGCUUUAGUAUUGAGUUUGACAUUUUUGUUUUGUUUUUUUUGUAAAUAUUAGUUAUGUUCUAAGACCAGAUCCAACAGCGUCUCUAAUGGGUUCCUAAACCUACAUGGUCUUAAAGAAAAAGGCCAAAAAUAAAAAAGAAAUGAAAAAAGAAGAAAGACGUUUCUAAGCUUAGAAAUUAAUUGGAUUAGAAAGACCCAAACGUGGCAUAUUCUGAUUGGGUUCAUUUUUUUUGGUUUCACGAUUUUGUUUCUUUGUCUCCCUCGGCGAUUCUGAUAGCGACUGCAAUUUACGGUGUGUCUGUAGCACCUCGUAUUCUGAGGAAGUAGGUCGGAAAGCCUAAUCCGUAGAAAUUUGCGUAUAGAAGUAAGUCGUUAAGUCCCGUGAAAGAGAAAGAGGAAAAGAAGCAAGAAGAAAAGAAGAAAGAAGCGGAGGACAAAGACGAGAAGGAAGGUAAUUAUUCCUCGAAUCACUUUCAAUCUGGCGAUUGUACCCUCCAAGUUAAACAAGAAAAAGAGACUCACGGUCCAAGUUUUUAAGGAACAUCCGUACUUCUUUCGUAUCGCAACCAUACUACGAGAAAGGUAAUUGUAUUCUAUGGCUCGCAUAAGGACAUAGGUUAAGCGAAGAAAGUCGGAUUAUAAGGGAAAGGUGUGAAGGAUUCAAGAGAGAAAGUUGCCCGAGAAGAGAAGAAUCAAGAAAAGUCUUGAUCUGAAUGAGGAGUUAGUCGCCAAAGCAAUAAGACCGAAGAAGAGUUUCAGAUAGAAGGAAAUAUUCGAAACGAAGAAAGAAGAAAGCUUGUGUAAGAAUUCGGGAAAAGAAGGUGAAUGAGAAAGGAAAUCGGACUUGGUAUUUAUAAAAUUCUAACUUUCACCAAGACGUGAAAUUUCGACGAUUAGUCUUGUUUCGGAAACUUGCAACUCAAGUUGGCUCACUUGGAGCGGAAGUUAAUCAGAAGUGGAGCCCAAGUUUUGUUGUCGGAAGUCAUGCAAGUUACACAACCUUUCAUUGCUAAGCGGACGUGCCAAUUUGCGCUAUAAAAUGCUUGCCCUCAUUAUUCCACGAGUUUUUGGAAGGAGAAUAGAGAAAUUAGAAAGAAACAGAGAGAGCUAGAGAGAAAGAAGGCAGAGAGAACUAAGACGAGGCUGAGACCACGAGAAGCGACCAAGAGUCUAGCCCAAACCGUCGUAGCUCCGACCAAGAAAACCCCUCCGAGAAUCCGUUCUUGUGAGUCGUAGUGACUACAUUGUUUGCUUCCUAUGCAUUCUAGAUUUACACUUGAAAUCCGGUUGCAUGCAUGAUAAGCUAUGACCUAAACGCCUAGUUCAUCACCUAGUAUAAUCGCUUGCAUAUUUCAGUUUAGAAAUCGUCACUUAGCUUAUUUCUUUGAGUUUUUCGCUAAAAUCCGGCACUUCGUGUGUGAGCCAACUCGAUAAUAGGUUUAUCCGAGUUUGGCGAUCGCGUUGGUAAACUAAUAAAGAAUUAGAAUAAAUCGUUGAAAAUCCGGCUAACUUAAACAAUGAAUUAGAUGCAUGUAGUUGAAGUAUGUUAUUUCUUGAGUUCCGAUUGUUUGUCUUUGCUUGAUUUCGACUUCUAUGUUGCUUGAUGUUUGUUGCCAUCACCGAGUUCAUAUUGGACUGGGAUGUGCUUGGUUGUUUUGUAGGAUCCCUUGGAUGCGGAAUCCGAGUAUUUUAGGCGUGUGUAGAAUAGUGUGUUGUUGUUCCGUUCUGUGGUGGAUGCCUAUGAGCUUUGAUCAUGAGUGGUCAGUCAUGCUAAGGUAUGGCCCGGAACCUAGGCCGGGAAUGCAUGACGAUGCAUAGUUCUUAUUGGUUUUCUUUGUGGAUUCAAUAAGAUGUGUUGGUCGGCAGUUGACAAGUCCCUAUCAGAUCCAACUUGCGACGGUGUGUGAGGAGAAACAGAGCACAUAGCCCAUAGAAGAAGUGUCUAUUUGUUUGCCGAUAGUAUUCUCGUUCACUAAGGCUUAUUCAUUUCUUUUGCGUGCUUCGUGUUCACUGAAAAUCCCUUUGCGAUUAUUAACCUCAUUAUCUUGCUUGCGUUGCUUUAGAAUUUUAAUUCAUAGUCCCAACUCACUGAGUAAUACUAGAUUACUCGUGAUUCUACUUGUCUUACAGGUAACACGUAGCAAUCAACAAGUAGAGGGGACACGAACGUUAACACCGCCAGUCCGGAAAUAGCCAUCUAUCCCAAGGGGAAUUGGAAUUUACAUAUUCCCCUUCAAAGAUUGAAUAUUUGGUGUUAGAGGAAACAGAGCACGAGAUCUUGGAGGUGCUUCGGCGUAUAACACAUCUCAGGGACCACGGAAACUCUAGUAACAUUAACAUGUUGUCUUCUGAAUUCUGUCAAAUUUUAAUCAUCUCUUGCGUUUUUUUCUAGGUUUGUCAACUUUACUUAUGAAUGUUUGGAUUGCAUAUAUGACAUUCUCUUCGUCUUUUUAACUGAAGUUUGUCUCUUACACAAAUCCUAAAUUAACCUCAAAAUCAAAGCUAAAGUCCGUCUAUCUCAUUAUUAAACUACUUGUCUCCUUAUUAUUAAAAGAGAAAUACAAAUUGAAAAAUAGUCAAAUUUGGCCUCAAUUUCAAUUUCAAUUUUGGAUUUUGUUCAUUGUUAAUCAUAAUCGUUAAGAAUAAUUUGGACAUAAAUUUUCAUUAAACAUUAUAGGAUCUGCGUGAUUAAAUCUGGUGGGUUAGGAGUAAUUACUCUUAAUCACAGAUUCAAGUUCCUAAUCGGGUUUAGCAUCCAAAUUUUGCAAUCUUAACCAUUCAACAAUUUUUUUAUAUUUACCUCAUUUUUGGUAUCUAAAUAUAUGAGCAUAUUCGAUCCCUAAUAACUGCACAUUCAAUCAUAUAUUGCCUAAUCGCUCGAAAAUCGUAUUAACUUAUUCUCAUAAAUCUAAUCCUAACCAUAACCAACUCUACAAUAUUCACCACUUAUCUAAAUAUAGCCAAUCAUUCAAUUCUAUUCAAAAUUCGAAUAUAUAUUGUUCAUAGUAUCUUUAAGUUUAUGCUUUUUCUCCAAGAUUUUUUUCAAGAUUUUCAAAAUAUUGGAGCCAGAAACCCUAGCAUCCUUCAACGCUAUAAAUAUCAACUUCAUUCUCAUUUCCAAUUCAUUACUCAAAUAACUCUUAGGUAGCAACUCAAUCGUAUGCUUUUUCUUCUUUUCUUAUCACAAAUGGCUCAAGCAAUUGCUUACCUCGAUGACUUCAAACCAUACAAAAUAUCUUGGAGAGUUUAUGUCCGUGUCCUUCAUACCUGGAAUACCACAAAGUUUGGUGAUACUUUCGACAUGGUUCUCUCUGAUGUCAAAGUAAAAUAUGGCCUUGAAUGGUACACUAAUAUAAUUUCUUUUUGAGUGGUAGAGAUAGAAGAUUCAUGCUUCUGUGAAGAGAGAGCAUCUGAACCGUUUUGAGAAGCUCAUGGUUCCAGGAGAGUGGAAGGCUACUGAAAACUUUGGAUUGACUUAUGCAAAAUUCAAAGCAACUAAUCAUCGUUACAAAAUGGGCUUCAUGGCUAAAACAAGAGUUGUGAGGAUGGAACCAUUAUCAGAUUCAUAUUAUUUGUCCUUGACUUCUUUCAUUGAUGUUUUAACUGGCGGUCUCAACCAAAACUACUUGAUUGGUACAUUUUCAUCUUCUGUUUUUAAUCUUUUUAAUCUUCUGUGUUAUUCAAUAUAUAUUUAUGUUUUGUUGUUCUUUUUGGUUCAAGAUGUUGUUGGUCAAAUUGUGAAUGUUGGUGAAAUGGAGACUAUUAAUGUCCACAAUAAACCCACUAAGAAGAUUAAUUUUGAAUUGAGGGAUCAUAAGUAAACUUCAUUCAGUACAUCUAUUUUUCAUUCAAAAUAAAAGUUCGUUAAUAUGUUUAUCUAAUAUCUCUGGGGUUCAUUUGCAGGACAAGUUUUCACUGCAUGUGAAGCUUCUAAUGGUGAGAUGAUCAUAUGUUUGGUCAGAUAUGCUAAGAUCAAAACUUACAAAGGUAUUCUGUUUUGGUAUUACUUUCACUUACUUUAACACACCAUGUGAAACAGCCCUGACGUUAAUAAACAUUAAAAACAUGACGGGGACAAAAAUACAACACUUUGGUUAUGAAAAACAGAAACUAUAGUGAAAAAUAGAGCAUGAGAUUUGAGUUUCUCUUGGAUAGGGUUAACAGAUACCAUAGAUGAUUUUAGAAUCGUGAGGUGCCGGUCAUGGGAAAAUGGGGUCCAAUACAAAACAAAAUUUAUUUGAUGAGUUCCACCUAUAUUUGUAAUAACAAAGAGAUAGAAUUUAAAAUAUGAAAAUAAAUCUGAAACUUUCAUAAAAAUGGGGCCUAUUGUUGAAAUAAAAAAAUGUUUUGAGGCCUAAUUUUUCUUAAUAAAAGUCAUAAAAAUUUUAGAGGCCCAAUACAUAUGUAUCUUGAGUAUCUAUCACAGGCAGGGUCUGGGUAACCCAUUGAUUAUCAUUUCCAAAUUUUUGUUAGAUUUUCAUAUAAAUUCGUUGCUUCAAUGAAAUUUUUCAGGUUCAUCACUCAUCAUGAUUCAACUAAUGUAUGAAAUACAUGUUAAGAAAAAGGGUGUAAUGAAAUAAACUUGCCCAUAAAAAUGAAAGUGAGACAUAUCUAAUUGAACAAAGGCAAAAUUACAAAGUUUUAGAAGAACUUAUCAGCUAUCUUCCUUGAAGUUAAUAAUCGAACUUUGCCAUUCCAUGAGCACUUGUAUUUUUCAACAAAAGUCUUCACUACCAUAUCUGCACAUACAACAUGUACUUUGAUAGAUUUAGAUCUCUUAUACCGUAUAUUCUUCUUCAUAUCCAUAUUAUAUUUGGCAAUUGCCUUCUUGAAACUAUCUUUACCGCUAAAAGCUUGACCGACACGGAAUGGAAUCACCUCGCUAGAUGAAUCAUCACUAUCAUUGUUCUCUUGCAUCUGGAAACAAUCAACUUCCUCACUCGAUUCCUUAUCAUCAUCAUAAGUAUGGUCUUCGACUCCCUCGCCAUCUUUCCCAAUAUCAUCACGUAUGUGCAUACUAUCACUUAACAAUAAGUAAAAUUAAUUAUAUGUAAAGGUGAUUUGUUCAUCAAAUAAACCAAAUUUUUUUUCCUUGAUACUAGCUAAAUUAAUUUUAGAAGUAAGGAAAUUGCGGUAAACCUUAAAUUAAGAAAAACGCUUUACCUCAUCUUAGUUUAUUCUUGUAGAAUAAUUGGAGAAGAUAAUUCUCUAGGAAAAACCUUACGAAGAAGAGAAAGCAAUUAAAGAGUACUUAGAAACCCUAUGAGGAUGCCUUACAUUUUAUUCUGUUUUAUAAGGAGUCAUACUUCUUUAUUUUUUAUUAAACAAUUCGUUUUACUAUUGUUGCUUAGUUAACAAACGUUAACGUCGGGGGAUGUUUCAUGCGGUUUGUUAAGGUCAGGGUUUAAUAACCCAAAUAAAAGGGUCAGGUUUAUUUUUCUGUUUUUUAAAAACUUCAGGUUUUUUUACUCAUUUUUCCUCUCUUUGGUGUGGAUCGUAUUUUUCUCCGUUCUCUGUUGCCCAUCAAGGUUGUGAGUUGAUAAUUUUUGUUAGAAGAAACAAACAUGAAAAUUGUAUAAAGACACAAACUUUGAGUUUGAGAAAGUGGAGCUUCACCAUUCUAGACGCAAAUCAACCUAGAAAUCCUAAUUUGAAAACAACGAUAAGUUUAAAAAAUAUAAAUAUAACAUUAAAAACAUUAAGAUGAAAGAUUACAAUUGGAUUGGAGUCUCACAUGUUAUAUAUGGCGAUUUACUUUGAAGUGUAAGCAAAGAGAUCAUGGUGAUUCUUUGGUUGAUUAGUUCUUGCAUCUUAAGAGUCGUAAAUUGGUUGCCAUUGUUAACACGGGGGUUAAGGAGGAAUUCGAUAUUAUGUGAGGUAAACGUAUUAAAUCAAACUAGAACGGAGAAACCUUACCUUAAUCAGCAAAGUUUGAUGAAACGACAAUUAGCAGAAGCAAUAAAAAUUAUGUUUAUGUGGUCUCCGAAGCAGUUCUAGCAAUCAAUCAUUCAAAAAAUAAUAGCAUUAGUAGAUGCGGUAAAAGAGCAAUCAUUCAAAAGAAUUUUAAAACCUUUGUAAUUCAUUUUAAAACUCUUGUAAAUACUUUUAAAACCUUUUAUGAGGGCUCACAAGAGUUUUAAAAUAAUUCAAAAAGAUUUACAAAUGUGUUAAAUAUUUACAAAUGUUUUUAAGAGUUGAAAAAUAAUUGACAUAUGCUUUCAAAGACUUUAUAAGUGUUUUAAAUGGAUUUAAAAGGAUUUUAAAACCAUUUUAAAUCCUUUUAAAAUUCUUUUAAAACUUUUGUAAAUAUUUUCAAACCUUUUACAAUUGUUUUAUGAUAUUUAAAGGACUUUAAAAUAUUGACAAAGGUUUUUGCAGACUUAAUAAGGAUUUGAAGAGUUUUUAAAGUGAUUUAAAAGUGUUUUUAACAACUUUACAAAAAAAAAAAAAAUGAGUUUACAAAGAUGUUCGUAGAUUUUUUAAUGGAUUUACAAGAAUUGUUUAAGGCAUUGAAAAAAAUUAAAAGGGUAAUUUAGUCAUUUUAUAUAUUAAAAGGGGGUAUUUUUAAAAAUUGAUGAUGCAAAGGGGUAUUUUUGCAAAAUGACAUUGAAAAAGUAUUAUUACAAAUCUUCCUUAUUUUAAAUAGAUUUUUUAUUAUAUGUUUUUGAUGAUGGGUAUCGGAUCUUAAUAUUUCUAGAUAUAACUAUAAUGUUUGUAUGGAUAUUGGAAAUCCAAAUUCGGAUAGUUGAGAUUCAUAUCUAACUUAUUUAUUAGAAAUUCUAAUUUCACAUUUGUCUUAAAAAAAAUAAGUUUAUUAUGGUUCUAUUUAUUUUAUUUUUAUAAAAAAUCUUAUUGUAAUCAAAAUCUACUUCUAUUUCCAUAUAGUCUAAGAUAUCAUCCAAAAGUUUGUACCGAAUCGAACCGCUUCAUAUAACUUAUUAUGUAAACAAUAUUUUUCCUCAAGAAUAGCUCUUUUUCUUCAUUUUUUUGAAUACUAGAAGGUUCUGAACCGAAGUCUGUAAUCUCUCGAGAGCCGAAACUACAGAAUGUAAUAUUAGUUUUGUCCUCCUCAGAAAUGGUUAUUUUGAGCUCUAACUAAAAGGUGUCGAUAACAAAAAUAUAAGAUGUCAUCCAAAAUUGGCUCCAAAAAUCUGUAAUAUUCGAAAAAAAUUCGAUAGUCUUUGUAAUUUUAGUAAAAUAAUAUAUCAGUUUUUAAACAAUAUUAUACAAAAUUGAAAUUUAUCAAGAUUGGUAAGUAACGUUUUUAAAUUUCAUUUAUUUUAAAUAGAUCCAUGUUUAAAUAUAUGUUUAUAACAAAGAGAAAUCCAUUUAUGUUUAUAAUAAAGAGCCCAUCAAAAGUCUCUCUGUGACUUAAAGAGGUUGUUAAGAAAGAGAAGCCCAUGUCAAGGCCUAUCGGAUGUCUCUGUAUGAAUUGUAAGAGUUUAACAAGAGAAGUCCAUGUAGGCCCAAGAAAACAGAUCCAAUAAGACUCUGACGAAGAAGAAAGAAAGGGUGCUUCGCCGCUGAGAAAUUCUGGCGGCCUUCUGCAACUCCGGUGAAACCCUCCACCAAGUCUUGGGUAUACGAAGACACUCAUUUCCUCCACCUAAAACCCGAAACUUUUGUAUCUACUUUGAUGGUGAACUCCGCCUGUAAUUUCUUCAAUUGCCGGUAAUAACUUCCGGCGAGUCCGACGCAUAUUAAGAAUCCUCUUCAUCUUAUUAUUUUUACCAUGAACUUGUGUAAUCUCAGGUAUCCUUGCUGAAAUUGCAGAAUUUCUUACUACUCUUCUUCUUCUGAUGGGCUCCUGGUCGGCCCAUACAAGUUAUUCUUUAUGGUUUUGGUUUUAUGAUUUAGCUUAACAUGAUAUUACUAAAUCUAUGAUAUGGUGUUUAUUUUCUUUUAAGGUUUUUUUAUAUAUAUAUGUAACCAUAAGCAGAAGAAUAAGAAAUUAAUAGCUAAACAAACUUUUGUGUCAAUUGUUUCUAAUCUCAUGAUUGGACCUAUCAUCUUCGCACAACUUCUAUGAAGAACACAUUGCGUCUCAUUGCUCGCUAUCUCUUUAACUCAAAACCUUUUUCAGCAUUUCAGGUGAAAGUUCUCAAACUUUCAAUUUCUUGGUUCAUGAUGGGUGUUUCUUAGAGUAAAAGCUCGUGUAGGAAUGAUAGAAAAGAUGGUGAUAUAUCUAGAAAGGACGAGUCAAAAGCCUAUGGAUAAUGUUUACCUACAAUACGAGAUUCUGAUAGCUAUAUCUAGGCGAGAACGUUUGAAACUUUUGAGUGAUGAUAUUAAGAAGUUGCUUUUGGAUGUGAAGCAGAAAUUAUUGGUUCCUGUAUAAAUAGAUUAUAUUACAAUAAUUUAGUGUAUGGUUUCUGUAGCCUGGGUUCUAAAAGAUAUGCUCCACAUUGAAGUCAUAAGAACUUGAGGUAUAAGAGUUGUUGUCUUGACUUUCCUUGUUCUUAGAUCCUGGAACCAUGUGUUUGUUUUACCUUUUAGAUUGAUGAGAAAAGCUCAAAGAAGAAGAAGCAGAAGAAGAAUAAGAAGAAGAUAGGGUUAGAGAAAUUUUUGAUUGAGAUUAUUCAACAAGAUGCUCUGGUGAUGGUAUUGCAUGCACACGCCCAUCCCUCUCGGAUAGCCGGUGCUUUCAAGUCUUUGUUGGUCUUUGUAGGAUAAGAUAUUUUACCUGUAAUUUUCUGCAAUUUUGUAGAAACAUUUGCUAUGGAGUUUAGAUAAUUUUGUAAACCACUUUGAUCAGAGAUCUCCGAUUGCUUAUACAUUACUUUCGACUCAUUGAUAGAAGAAAGCUUGGAUCAACGGAUUUUUUUUGAGUAGUUAUUCAAGUUUCAGACUAAACUAAACACAAUUCUAAUAUUAUUUUCAUCAUCAAUGUUCUCAAGUUAUAAAAUCCAAACAUCAAUCACAUCAUCUCUCAACAAAAAAGAAGAAUCAGUACCCAAAAGACUAGAAAAACGAGUCAAAAGCAUUAUUCUGAAUAUAUUUGUCUAUAUCAUUAUUAGCUUCAAAACCACCACCAAGAUAAAGAGCUGAAAGAAGCAUCAGUACCCAAAAGACCGGAGAAAAACAUAGCAUCAACAAAGCAAACAAUCUAGACAAACGCAGCAGAAACAAUCACACUAUCAGUAGUAUCUAGAGUGGGUUUUCAAGACAUUCAAUGACCGCAGUUUAAGAAAGCAAGCAAACCAAAAGAGUAGAUAGCACGAGAGAAUCUCUGAGAUGGAGAUCUUUGUCAAUAGAAAAGCUAAGAAGAAAGCCCAGCUCCUCCUGGUCCUGGGCUGUCACCUAAAUCACCUAUAUAUGAAGCGUACGUACUUGUCGAAACCGUGACAUGCCUUGUAUGUGUUAGGCAUGCCACCUUCCUUCUUCUUCUGAUGCCGUCCUCUAAAUUCAGUCCGAUCUGAAAUUAUCCAAAUCAGAGAGAUAUGAGUUUCCAUAAACAAAAUUAGUUUACUCAGAAUAAAAAAUCAAGCGCUCUAUUUUUGGAAUCGAAAUUCAAAAAUUCAUCAGCGAAUCGCGCAAAUCUAUGUCUAUUUAGCAUCACUUAUCGAAUAGAAAUCUAAAAUCGAAACAUAAUCAACUAACAAACGCCACAGAUUGUUAGCAAAAAUCGAAUCCAUCUAUUUUUGGAAUCAAAAUUCAAAUAUUCCUCAAAAAUCAGCAAAUCGAAUUUCUCUCUAUUUCCUCAAUUUUUGCACAAAUCUAUGUCUAUUUAGCAUCAAUAAUCGUAACAAAAUCAACUAACAAACGCCGCAGAUUGUUACCAAAAUUUGAAUCCAUCUAUUUUUAGAAUCAAAAUUCAAAUAUUACUCAAAAAUCAGCGAAUCGAAUUUCUCUCUCGUUCCUCAAUUUUCGUACAAAUAUAUGUCUAUUUAGCAUCAAUAAGAAAAACACAAUCAACCAACAAACGCCGCUGAUUAUUACUAAAACUUUAAUUCAUCUAUAUUGAAAUCAAAAUUCAAAUAUUCCUCAAAAAUUAGCGGAUCGAAAUUCUCUCUACUUUCUCAAUUUUCGCACAAAUCUAUGUCUUUUUUUUUUUGGGCAAACUUAUCUUAUCAUAAAAGAGAAAGAGUUUUAACCUCUACCAACAGAGGAUACAACAUAGCAACAACAAGUCGGAAAAGCUAAAGCAUCGACAAACAUAGAGAUCAAACAUAAGCGAAAGCUAGCAACAACAAUGCUCAAAAAGAGACUUGGGGACAAGGGUGAACCCAAAGGUUCUAGCAAAGCAGCAACUAACCAAGAGCAUCCAAAAAAGCAAACACCUUUAGCUUGGAAGACCUUGUCGAAACCACAAUAAGGAGGAAACAAAGCCUCCAAUGACACUAACGUCAAACAAUCGGCAAAGGCUGAAUGAGAACAGUCUUGAACAACAAUCCUCGCUUCUACUUCAAGCAGAUCAGUAUUGCACACAAUGCUCCCUGUAACUUUAUCACUAAACACAAGUGAAGUAUUUGAGAGGAUAAAAAGCUCCAUAAAGGAGAGAUGAGGGCUAUGAAAUCCCCAAUGAACCAGAAAAACUGGUAGGUUGUCUGAAAUCAAAGCCCUCCGUCUAAGCUGCGAAGAGACAACUUUUAACAAAAACAAAUCGAGAUAGAAUCCGCAUACUGCAGUAAAAGAUCGCAUUAAAGCGAUAGAGGUAUUACAAGAGAGCACAAAAGUAUCCAAAACAUUCUGUCUAAGCUGCGAUGAGACAACUUUUAACAAAGGCGAAUUAAGACAUCCACAUAUUGUGGUAAGUGAUCGCAUCAAAGCGAUAGAGGUGCUACAAGAGAGCACAAAAGUAUCCAAGCCAAUCGAAACUAGAUAAGCUACAUAUGAAUUACACAAACCCAAAUUCCACAAAACCAGAGCCACAAACUCUAUCAACAACCAAACCCUUCCAAUCUUAGAAGAAACAUACGGCGAAGAGUAAGAGCAAACCUGAGGGAAAUACUGAGGAAGAAAAGUGGUGUCGUCGGCGAGAAGGAAAACAUCAAUGAAAAAAUCAGUGAUCGAAGAGGUCGGUGACGGAGAUUCAGAUAUGGCGGAGGAGAUAUGGAGAAUGAGCGAGACCAAAUCUGGGAGGGAAGAGGAGCUCAACGACUGAGCAUAAGAAUCAGCAAAAGUGAAGCAGAUCUGAGAAUCUGGUGGAUCCGGUGGUUCCGGUGGAGUCGGCGGAGAUGGAGGCUCUGGUGGUGGUGCACAAGGUGGCCUCAGAAGGAGGAAGGCGACCGAAGACGACGGUAAGCGACGAGAGUGGCUCGCAUUCGAGAGAAAAAGGAAAGUCAUUUCAAGUGAAAGACUCGCCGGAAAACAAUUACGCCACCGGAAAAGUAGAUUCAUUGGAGAGAUCUCACUUUAGUAGUAGCUACAAUCAGGAACGCAGGCAGUCAGAGGAGCAACGCCGGUGAAGAGAACUAAUCACGAACAAGGCUUGCGGCUACCUUGGUUAUCUUGCUUGAGAGAAAAUUUUUUUUUUUUUUUUUUUUUUUUUUUAGUAAGAGCCUUUUAUUCACCAAUAAGAAUUUUGUUCUUUCUAAGUAUACAAAAUGACUAAAGAGUAUUUUACUUAACUCACAAAUAGUACACAGGAGAGCUCUAACAGAUUGAAACGUGAACCUCACCUGGAAAGAAAGUACUUUCUUUCAUCACACACUAAAGUCUUCAAAAGCUGUUGAAAGUUCUUUACUUGUUUCAAAAGCGACCAAGGUUCCUAAGAAUUGUUUAGCUCAGAGACCAACUUCCAAAAAAAAAGAUAUUAACCUGUAGAAAGCUUUUGUUCUGGAUCUUGAACUCGCAACAAACAUCGCAGCUUCCCUCAACAAAACAUUGCUUUAGGAUCCAGAACAAAUAUGGUCAUGGUCUUUGAACAAUGUUACCACAUAAUCUGUUAAAUCUCCUGCUUUUCAAACAUGUAAGUGAAUUUCAACAGAAACAAAUCUAGCUCCACUCUAUGAAUAUUGAAGCAGUUUUCUGAGAAUCCGGAAAGGGCCUAUAAAUCAAAAGAGAAAUAAAACACCUCAGGUAGGAGAGUCUUGAACUUUGAAUAGUAUACUAGUCUUUUUGGAUCCUUCUAAGGUUACAUUAGCAACAUCAACGACCUUGGAGUUAUGAAAAAGCCUAGCAAUGUCUCUUACAUCAUCUCCACCACAUUCAUCAACCGAAACCACACAAAAUCCGCCACGUCUCACCGUCCUCUCCAUCUCCUCCACAAACUGCCACGGAAACAGAGCUUCAGCUAGAUGUGCAGUGAAGGCAAAAUCAAAGACACCGUCGAAAAACGGAAGGUUAUGAGGAUCAGCUCUUUUCACAAGAGGAAUCGAAUCAACCAAUUCAACUGCGGUAACAUCAGAUAAUCCGAUCUGAGAAAGAGCCAUCAGAGCAUGGCCUGCUCCGGCGGAGAGACAGAGAGCUUUGGUGUGAUUUUGAAUGAAUCCGAGAUCGCGAAAUCGGAGGAAGUAGGUAGAGAAGGAGUAUAGACGAGAUUUCCAAGCUCCAGAGGACCAGAUUCGAGCGUUCUUCUUUGGGAGAGGAAGAUGCUGACGAGGCGAUGAAUCGCAUGUAGAUCUCGGGAAAUGCGUAUGAGGUUUCGAUGGAGCUUCUGGAGAAAUACAAGUUUUUGGUGUCUGGAGAAUCAUAAUUACCAUUAAUACUGUUCCGAUGCUUAAGAACACUAUUGAUACUCUCUUCAGCAUCUUCUCGACGUUUCUCUCCAUCGUCGCCGAUCAAAACUCCGAUCAAAAUAUCUAUGUUUAUAUAACAUCAAUAAUAAAAACACAAUCACCUAACAAACGCCGUUGAUUGUUACCAAAACUCUAAAUAAUCUAUUUUUGGAACGAAAUUCAAAUAUUCAUAUAAGAUUAGCGGAUCGAAUUUCUCUCUAUUUCCUCAAUUUUCCACAAAUCUAUGUCGAUUUAGUAUAAUUAAUCGAAACAUGGUCAACUAACAAACGCUGCGAAUUGUUAUCAAAACUCGAAUCCAUCUAUUUUUGGAAUUAAAAUUCAAAUAUUCCUCAAAAAUUAGCAAAUCAAAUUUCUCUCAGUUCCUCAAUUUUUACACAAAUCUAUGUCUAUUUAGCAUCAAUAAUUAAAACACAAUCAACUAACAAACACCGCCGAUUGUUACCAAAACUCGAAUCCAUCUAUUUUUAAAAACAAAAUUCAAAUAUUCCUCAAAAAUUAGCGGAUCGAAUUUCUCUCUAAUUCCUCAUUUUGGCACAAAUCUAUGUAUAUUUAGCAUCAAUAAUCGAAACACAUUCAACUAACAAACGCUGCAGAUCUAAUCCAUCUAUUUUUAGAAUCGAAAUUCAAAUCUUCCUCAAAAAUUAGCGGAUCAAAUUUCUCUCUUGUUCCUCAAUUUUCGCACAAAUCUAUGUCUAUAUAGCAUCAAUAAUCAAAAUACAAUCAGCUAACAAAUGCGCUGCUUUGUCACCAAAACUCGAAUUCACUUAUUUUUAGAAUCAAAAUUCAAAUAUUCCUCAAAAAUCAGCGGAUCGAAUUUCUCUCUAAUUAUUCGAUCAAGAAACAAAUCCUACAUUGUUAGCAAGUAGUGGGUAUAAUGACUGGAAAAAUGCUGCGCAAAGGCUGAAAAGACAUGAAACAACUCAUCGUCAUAUUAUUUCCAUGACUCAUUGGAUGGAGCUAGAAGUGAGAUUACAAAAGAGUAAAACAAUUGAUAACCAUAUGGAAUAGGCAAUUAAGAAGGAGAAAAAACAUUGGAGAGAUGUAUUGGUGAGAAUAAUUGCAGUGGUAAAGACUCUAGCUAAACAAAAUUUAGCAUUUUGUGGAACUAAAGAGAAUGUUGAUGAUCCAAAUAGUGGAAAUAUUUUGGCAUUUAUUAGAAUGAUUGGAGGUUUUAAUUCGGAUAUGAAGGAACACAUUCGGCGGGCUAAUAAAGGUGAAAUUCAUUGCCAUUUUCCCAGUCAUAAGAGUCAGAAUGAAUUGACAGAAUUACUUGCUAAUGAUACCAAGAUGAUGAUCUUAAAGAAGAUUAAAGAUGCGAAGUAUUUUUCAGUCAUUCUUGAUUCCAUUCCGGAUGUUAGUCGUAAAGAACAAAUGACCUUCUUAAUUCGAUGUGUGGAUGUUUCAACGUGUUCACCUAAGAUUGAGGAGUUCUUCUUGACGUUUCUACACAUCAAAGAUAAGAGGGGUGAGGGGCUUUUUAAGACUCUUCAAGAUGCAUUGAUUGAUCUUAAGUUGAAUAUUGAUGAUGUAAGAUGACAAGCAUACGACAACUGACAAAAUAUGAAGAGAAAACAUAAAGGAGUUCAGAAAAGGUUGCUUGAUAUAAAUCCAAGAGCAUUUUACACUCCAUGUGGAUGCCAUGGUCUUAACCUUGCACUUUGUGAUAUGGCUUCAUCAUCCAAGAAAGCUGUUUCUUUUUUUGGAAUUGUUCAGCGAAUACAUUGUCUGUUUGAAGCUUCAACCAACAAUUGGGAAGUGUUUAGAGAAACAGUGAAUGGUAUUACACUUAAACCGUUGUCUCAAACGCGUUGGGAAAGCCGCAUUGAUAGUCUUAAACCAAUAAGAUAUUAAGCUUCAAAGAUACAGAUACAAGAUGCACUUUUUUAUUUGGCAGAAUACACUGAUAAUCCAGGACACCGGAGUGAUGUUGAGUCUCUUACAGAGAGUGAAACACAUGGAAUUGGAGGGUUUGAAUUUUUAUUUGGAAUGAUAAUUUGGUACGAUUUGCUAGCUGCUGUGAAUAUAGUAAGCAAAUCCUUACAGUUUGAGGAUAUGGAUCUUGAGGUUGCUAUUUCUCAGUUAGGAGGGCUUGUUACUUAUUUGAAAAACUACAAAGAAACAGGUUUCGAGAAAGCCAAAGUUGAAUCUACACAAAUUGCCAUUGAGAUGAAGAUUGCGCCGGUAUUUCCAAAAAAGUCGGUGAAAAAAAAAAAGCAAUUUGUUGAGGAUGUUGAGAAGAUUGAUGAAAGUAAGAUUGCAGAGGAGAGUUUUAGAAUUGAUUACUUCAUCAAUAUAAUGGAUCAAGCUAUAAUGUGUAUUGAGAUAAGAUUCGAGCAAUUCCAAGUAUAUGAACAAAUAUUUGGAUUUUUGUUUGGUGUAAAGAGAUUGAAGGUAGCAGAAGAUGAUGAGUUAAGGACAUCGUGUAUGAAGCUUGAAGCUUCUUUGAAGCAUGAUGUGCAUUCAGAUGUUGAUGGAGAAGAUCUGUUUAUGGAGCUGAAACUUUUAAAAGAUGUGUUGCCAAAAGAGAUUACAAAGCCGGUCGAAGUGUUGAAAUUUUUGAAAAUAAUGGAUAGCUGUUAUCCAAACACAUGGAUCGCUUAUCGUAUACUACUCACCAUUCCGGUUUCAGUUGCUUUGGCGGAGAGAACUUUUUCAAAAUUAAAGCUCAUAAAAAAAUAUCUACGUUCGACUAUGUCUCAAGAGCGAUUGAAUGGUUUGGCGCUGAUAUCUGUAUAACAAGAACUGGUUGAGAAGCUCGAUUACCAAAAAUUGAUGAAUGAAUUUGCAGGAGCGAAAGCUAGGAGGAUUAUGUUUCGCCAGGAAGAAAACUGAGAUUUCUAUUUAUUUUUUUUCUUGUUAACAAUUUUUAUGUUCAAUUUUCUUAAACAAAAUAAAUUUCAUAUUAUUUUAUUUUGCGAAAAAAAUAUAUUUGGGCAUCAAUUUUGAAUUUGCUUUAAGCAUCAAAUAUCCUCGGACCGGCACUAAAUCUAGGGUUACCAUUCUGCUUCUUCUUCCAUCUUUUCUUCUGCUUUCCCAUGAUUUAAUUUCCUUUGAAAAUUUUCCAAUGGAAACAAUGUCCUAUUCUUUCCGCUGCACGCUGCAUUUUAUAGAUUUUUUUUAGAUUCACCCGUAUAACUAUGAUUAAAUAACUCUUUAUACAAACAAUCUCGACUUGGCCCAGUGGUCUAAGUCUCUCUCUUUUACCCUACGCGCCUACUAGCGCCUGGUUUGACCUUUUACAUCUACAUCUUUUUCUCUCUUUUUUUUUCCCUUCAUUUAAACCAGAUCGAACCAGUUUCGAUUCGGUUAAAUUAUCGAAAUAGUCAAUUACAACAUCACAAUAUCGACUUUUUCUACUGGUUCACUUGGUAUUUUUAAACGACACUUAUAUGUAAGAUCAUUGUUUCUAUUAUUGUUAUACGAACCAAUCUAAAUAUGAUUUAAUUAGCUACCCAAUCAAACCCCUUUCUUUCUUAAAAACAUGUUAUUUUGUUAUAAUCUGGAUAAGUAUGGAUCCUACCAAAAAAUCUGGAUAAGUAUGGAUGUAAUUAUCCAUCACUCAUCUAUAUCCAUAAGAUAUGGAUAAUGCGUAUCUCUAUCCAUUAUUUUCUCCCUAAGUCUAUUAUUUCCUCGCUAAGUCUAUUACUUCUUUGUUAAGUCUAUUACUUCUUAGUAAGUCUAUUACUUUUUCGUUAAGUCUAUUACUUUAUUGUAAGAAGUACAGAGAAGAGAAGAGAAUGAGUAAGCAAUAAGAAAACUCUCGUUUCGGUCUUUACUCUUUUUAGUUUUCAUUCUUCUUUAAAUAUUUUAUAACAGGUUAUCAGUAAGAGCGUCUCUCCGGGUGAUUGUCUAACCGACCGAUCGUCUAUUUGUUCAAGCAUCUUUUGAGGUAAUAUUUGAAUUAUGUUAAAUUCAUUUUAAUUCAUUGCGGCGGACCCAUAAAUACUUUUUACCGAAUUAAACUACAACUUAAAAGAAUUAGUAAUUUAAAAAAAUUAAAUUACUAAAUAAAAUUAUUUCCUUAAAAAAGACCACAAAGUAGGUUAAAUAUUUAUGGGUGAAUCAAACAAAAAGGCUAAAACAUGUCAAAAAUAGUAUCAAAACACAAAGUAGAAGAAAAAUAUGAUCAAAUUUAAAGGGUUUCGAUACAAAUUUCUAAUUUCAAGGGGGUCAACAGAGAAGAAAUAUAAAUAAUAUUUUAAAUAUUUAAAGGGCUGUAAUACGAAUUUAGAAUUUUCCAGGGCAUCUCAUCCCUUCCCAUCUAUACUCUUUACCGUGUCAAAAUAAAACUUAAAAUAAUUAAUAACUAAAACUUUUAAAAAAUCUUUAUUUACUGAAAAUUACCACAAAUUAGGUUCAAACUUUAUUGGUGAAACAAACAAAAACAAAUACAAAGAGUAAAAACAUAUAAGAAAUAGUGUUAAAACACAAAGUAGAAGAAAAAUAUGAUAAAAACUUAUAGCGUUUACAUGCAAAUAUGUAAUUUUAAGGAGAUUAGAACCGAAAAAUAUAAUUAAUAUCAUAACUAUUAAAGGGAUAUAAUGUAAAUGUAGAAUUUUAGUGUGGUUUUCCCCUUUAAUCAUCUUUGGGUCUGCCCAUACAUAUUUCUUAUCCUGAAAUUUGAAAUAGACAUGCGCGAUUUUCUUAACAACUUAUAAACAAAUAUGUUCUUAUACAUUUUUCUUACACAACUUUUAGGAUAUUUAUCUUAGGAUUUUAUUUAUUUAUUUUACGUUUAAAGAUUACAAAUAAUUUUUAGACGUUACCGCCACAAAAAACUUAUCCACAAAAUAUUUUACGUUAUUUUAUUUUACGAUUAAAGAUAACAAAAACUUAUCGGUUUAUUAAUAAUUGUCUUGUGGAUCGUCGUAUACCGUAAUUUGAUAACAAUUCUAAACUAUAAAUUAUAAAUAUUCUAUAAAUAGAUACAAUUUGGAAAAUUUAAUAUAUAUUAACUUUAAAAAAUAGUGUUAAAAAUCUAGUUUUAAGGUUAAUAGUUGAGUUAUGUUCUAAAUCUUUCCAAGUUUAUAUAUUUUUGUACUUUAAUGUUUACUCAUCAAAAAUAAAUUAACAAAAACUCUUAUUUCAAAAGCAAAGUCAAUAGUACAAAAUAUCAAGUUUUUUCAGAAAAAAAAGUGAAUUAGCGUAUUGAAUUUUAAAAAGUGAAGGUUUUUAUAUGAGAGAUGAUUUUUUUUUCUAUAAUUACCAUAAAUAUCUGAUCCUUAACUAUGUCAGCAGAGGAUAUACAUUUGUUUUUUGUUACAAAAGAGUUGGGUUCUAACUUCAAAAGAGUGAAGGUUUCAAACAGUUAAAAAAAAACAUUUACUGUUAAUAUUUAUAAUUUCAUCAAUAAUGGGCAGAAAGUUUUAUACCAAUUAAUAUUCUACAUUCUUAUUCUCUUAUGGACUUUCUUACAUUUGCAGCAACUUAAAGAUUCCACUUGAUAAACUCCCAUCUUUCUUUUUGGAUGCUCCAAGUCACUUGAUUAAAGCUUCUCCAGAAUCUCCUCUAUAAAUUAUGAUUCAUACCAAACUCUUGUAGACAAAACCGAUUUUCAAAAAAACAAAACAUAAAAAUAUUUUUUAAAAACAAUGAAAUACGCAGAUAUAUCACAUUUUAGUCACCCUCAACACAACCUCAAAUUCGACUACACGGAGAAACCCUUCAAAUGUGAUGGAUGCAAUGAAGUUGGUAUCGGCUCUCGCUAUCGCUGCUCCGGUGAUAAUCAUGGAAGCUGUGAUUUUGAUCUCCAUGCGCACUGUGCCCUGCCCUCAGCGUCCAUAACACAUCCGUUCUACAAAAAGUGUACGUUUCAGUUUGUGGCGCGGCCACCAGGGAACGAAAGACGGUACUGCAAUGCGUGCGAGAAGGAUGUAUCGGGGUUUUUGUACCAUUGCAAGGCUUGUGGGUUUGAUCUUCACCCGUGUUGCGCUAUGCUUCCUAUGGUUUUGGACGAUGGAGAGACCAAUCUCUUUCUUUAUCGUAAAGUUAGUUCGUCUUGUCAUCGAUGUGGAAAAAAAGGCCGUAGCUGGAGUUACAGGUCUCUCUUCUUGAUUCUCUUCUUGUUCUUUCAUUAUUAUGAUACCAAAGAUUAGCAUGUAAGAAAAAUAAAAAUUGUUUCGUCUUUUUUUUAUAAUUAUUAGCAUGUUUUAUUUGAAAACAUAUAUAGUUCGCUAUAUUAGAAAUAUAGUAUGUUAUAUGUUAGAAAAUAACUAAGAUACAACUCAAAUCAAAUAUAUAGAAUGGUAAUUGGAAAAAAAAAUGAGCAUUGCUUUAGUUGUUUUUGUUUUUAUUUAUUUUAGUUCGCUGUUUUCAUUGGUGUUUUAAGUCAACAUCAGCAUAUAUUCCAAAUCAACAUCUCUAAAGAAUAUUUUAAAGCAAUAUGAUAAAAUUUUGGAUUACGUUUAUUUAUUGAUUCUUGAACAUUAAUUUCGGCUUUAAACCGAAUAUAUGUUAGAGAAAAAGGAAAAAUUAAAGCAAUGGCAUUCAAACACAAACUUUCUCUUUUCUCAAAGAAAUGCUUGUGCUUGGUAAUUGGUAGACAUGUUACAUAGCGUGCACUCUAAGUUAGAACUUUACAAGUUUAUACACUGACUUAGCACAUUAUAUAUGUGUCAUCGCCGAAGUUUUUAAAUAGAUAACGUUAGUUCUUAGUUAUCAAAAUUAUAUACCAAAAUAGAAAUUUUAGAGUCAAAUUCCUUGAUUAAUGCAUUGCAACAUAAUUUUGAGCCAGUUAAUAAUAAAAAUCAGGUUUUAAAUCAGCUAAAUAUGUUUGUUUUUUUUGUCACAAAAAUACAGGUCAUCUUGCAAAAAGUACAAUCUCCAUGUCGCGUGUGUGAGAGAGAUGUUGGUGGAGAAUUGGCGAGAGCUGUACACAGGACAACAUGGUAAAAGCAUUGAACACAAGAGCCUGGUCUUAAAGAACACACUUGAGCAUCACCACCGUAGCAGCCGCAAAGGUAAAGUUCAAAAAUGCUGCGAGAUCGCCGGUAUAGCCGUGCAGUUUGUCAUUUCCGCCGUACUCGGGGAUCCAACGACCCUAAUCGCGGGAGUUGUAGGCUCCCUUAUUUCUCGAGGAUGAUUCCCCUUCAAAGUAUUUCAGUUUGAGUGUUUAACCAUCGUGUUAUAAACUCUUAAUUAGGAGCAUGUGAAAGUUGAUACAUUAGAGUUUGAUAUCCUUUUAAGUUUCUUGUCCAUAAACCAAAAACGUGUAAUGUUGAAAAAUAAUAAUAAUUAAUUACGUAAGACAGCUUAGUAAAGUCUAUUUUAAGUGAUUUAAUUUGAACAUUUAAACAUUUUCGUACGAGUUACCAAUUAUAUAUUUCUAACUGAAUAUUUCACUCUGUUAAUUUUUCUGUCAAUUGACUUAACGACGUGCUUAAAACGACAAAAUCAACAAAAGUUAUAUAUUAAUUCUAAAAUCAAUAACAAGUUUGGUAUUUUAGUGGUAUUUUGGAAGUUGGGGAUUUAAACGUACCAAAUUUAAAAGUUUAUGAUUUUUUUGACAUUUUUUCAAUUAUAUAUUGAAGUGUUCUAAGAUAAAAUCAUGAGCCUGGUAAAAAGUUUUUGUAUCUUACCUUUUUUAGGUAGCUGUUUUUCUCUAUUUUGCUCAUCAUUUCUUAAGAUUUACAGGUUGUAAAAGGCCAAGACUUAGUGAGAAUAAAACUGUUGGAAGUAAUUAUAUUUAUUUUAAAGUCUAUCAAAAAUAUCAUAAUCUUAAUACAAUUUGUAAGAAACAUUUUUUUUUUGGGCAAAACAAUUAGUAAGAAACUUGUAUUCAAAAUGAUUAGGAUUUUGGAAUGCACACUAUAUAUAUAUUAUUGUCACUAAAUCAAACCAAACCAAAUAGAACAACAGUCAUGAGAACAAUUCAAAAUGAAAUAUUUAUUACAAGUUUACAACUAUAUAAUAGUAUAUGAUUUUUUAGUUGGAAAGAUUCAUUUCAGCUUUAAUGGCAGCAACAAGGUGAUCAUAAGCCUGACCCCAAGCCACCUUCAUCUCCGGUGACCACAUCUCCGGCACUGCCUCCUUUAUCGUCUCCAACAAUGCAUACUUGGCCACCUGCAGUUAUAAAUCAUUUUUACAUCAACCAAAAAAAAUCAAGUUAACAUAUUUGUAUGAUAAAGAACAUUUUGAGAUAUGACAAAUAACUACUAACCUCAAAGUGUUCGUCAACGACACCGUAUUUAGAAUGGCUGGCUCCAAGUCUCUUCAAAGUAGUCUCCCUCACCGUAACUUUCCCUGUUUUCCUCAGUUGUACUGCUGAUUCACAACACUGAUAAUAAACCCCAAAACUCAACAAUCUUUGAUUCGAAUAUAUAAGCAAAAUCAUGUUAUUUGAUAUUGAUUAUUACCAUGACAAAAACAGACAUUGCGUGAGGCUUGAGCUUUGGAUUUUGCUCAGCAGGAAUUGGUGAGUCUCUCAAGAAAGAGAACAUCUUCUUCGUUGUUGGUGCAAUCUCAAAGAUCCUACAGUUCAAAAUAGUAGUUCAUAUCUCAGACUAUAUACAUAAAAAGAAAAUAGAGAGAGAUCAAUGGGAUCAUUACUUACUUGAUGAAGAGUUUGAGACCUAAUUCAGCUGAGUUUUUCUUCAUGACACUCCAAGACUUCACUACAAGAGCCUCUUGCUCUUCUGUGAACACAAUCUUUCCUUCACUCUCCAUAAUAUUUCACAACCUCUAAAUGAUUUAAAGUAUACAACUCUCUGUUUUGUAGAUCUUACUCCAAUUAUGAAAAGUAUCCUAUAUAUAGGUUUUGAUAAAAGACCCUUUUGUGUUACCGAAGAGACAGUUCUUGAUAAGCAAGUUUAAGAUAAAGUUGCUUGGUUAAAAAGUGAAACCAUGUGCUCUGUACUGGUAAUGGAACAUAGUUUGUAAUGGUAGGCUUGACCAAUUAUUAGUCAAAACACUAAAGAAAAGUCUUUUAGAUCUCUUUAUCUCAUUAAUUUACUUAUUUAUGUAUUGGCCAACCACACCAAGUGGUAUAAGUUGGGAUACACUGAAUCUAUUGAUCAAAUUGGCAGAACAGAGAUUAUACUACUCAAAUGAAUCUCUCCCUCAUCCAAUUUAUUUGCACAACUAUGAACAAAACUUGUGAGAGUUAUGUAGCACCAUGUGGCUUUCAUAUCUAAGAGGUAAGAAAAGGUUGAAACUUUACACACUGAAUGUCAGGCAAUGAACAUUACAGAGGAGGGUGUUUAAUUUCUUUCAAACUCAACCGUAUCCGUAAGUUACAUCGCGUUUCGCUACAACAGAGUCAAAUGGUAUUUCGACUCUUUCCUUAACAAGGCACCGUGCUUCUCCAUCUUCAAUCACAAGAACUUUCCCUGGUGGACAUUGGUUAGGUGUUCUCUUCCCUCUGGUAGCUCGGUGCGGGAGAAGUCCAAAAAGGUUCAAGGAAGCGCCUCUUUUCCUCAUCUCUGGACCAUAUCCUGAUGCAGACAAUAGAGAGAUAACACCGAUGAUUGGAAGCACGAUCUUUGCGACAGAGCCUAAGAAGCGAAUAACCCCAUGACUCGAACCUCCAGAUCCUCCGUUGGGACUUUUCGCCUCUGCCUCGUUCCUCACAUGUCCUGAGCCGAACCCAUUCGCAUCCGAUUUCUUCUUCGAAGGUAAGUGAGAUAGGUAACCAUUAUUAUUAUCUAAACCAAGGGAGAGAGGAGGAUGGACAGGAUAAGGAGGAAGUAAAAGAUCAUUCUCAUAAUCAACUCUUUCACCAGCAAAAGUCGUAGUCUCACGUAACACUUCAAAAUCUUUCCCUUUGUACUCCUUAAGCUUCUCAAGCAACAUUUUCCUACUGUAAUCAAUCUCAGAGAGAGCCAGUUGCUUCUCAUAUUGUUGUCUUUGCCUUAGAUUCUGUUCACCACAAACCAAAAACCAUCCCCACAUUAACCACCACCAAGACUUGAAGCAAUUCAGACAUUAUAGACCAGACUUGAAGCAAAAUUCAGACUCAGUUUCAGUUAAAACCAGAACCUAACACUUUCAAUGUUCAAUACUACACUAAAAGCCAGAAACUUGAUGAGAAGCAGAGGAAUUUUUUAGGGUUUGGUUCAAACCUGUAAAGAAGCAAUUCAGACAUUAUAGACCAGACUUGAAGCAAAUUCAGACUCAAUUUCAGUUAAAACCAGAACCUAACACUUUCAAUGUCCAAUACUACACUAAAAGCCAGAAACUUGAUGAGAAGCAGAGGAAAUUUUUAGGGUUUGGUUCAAACCUGUAAAGAAGCAAGCUGAGACUCAAGAGCUUCAAGAGCAUCACGAAUACGCAAAAGCCGUUCAGCUUCUGCUUCAUCUACAUCCUCAGAGCUGAUUGAGUCAAAAUCCUUGUCUUGAUUCCCAAUAAUCUCGCUUUUUCUUCCUUCUCCGGGAGAAAGAUCCUCGUUUCCAUCGCCGUUGUCGCUGACGGUGGUACUGGAGUUAUCGAUACAAUCGCUGAUCUUGAGUCUGAGCUCGGUGGCUCUGGCUAAAAUUAACCCGAUGCCUUCUUCGUCUUCCAUCGCAGAGAUUGAGGAAAAGAAUUUGGGGGUGGAGAAAUUAGGGUUAGGGUUUUUGUAAGGUAGUGGUGGUGGGGAAGAGAAGAGAGACAAGUAAUUUGGAGUGUUUGGAGUGGAUUUGUUUUGUGGUUGGCUUAACUCAGAUUUUCAGAUUUGUUUCUGCUGCUUUCCCGGUUUUAAUCAACGGCCACAAAAAAUCAACAAAUUUUUAUUGAAUUUAUUUAAAUUUGGGGAAAAAAUGAAAAAGAACCAUAAGAAAUUUGGAAGAGGCCAAUUUUGGACUCUAACAAAGAUGACAAAUCUGACAUAUCAUUCUACAUAAAUAAAAUAAAAGAAUCUGUGUACUAAAAUAUAGACUUCUAUGUCAGAAAAAACGUAAAUUUUAAGUUAUUAUUUUUUACCGUCUAGAUUUAUUAUUUAUUAUAAAUUAUAAAAAUUAUCGUAGAAUCGUUUUUGUAACAAUUCUUUUUCUUUGAACUAUGGUUAGCAUUUUUUUGUUUGUCAACGCCGAAGUCAACUGAUCGGUUUACCGGAAUUGUAUGUUCAUAAUAUUAACCAGAUGACGUCAUAUAGUUCAUAAAUAUGGUCAUGCAAUACAUGUACUUCGUGUAGCUCAAGAUACAAUAUUAUACUUGGUAUAUAUGACAGCGUAAUUCUCUAUAUUUCGUGUAGUUAGCCAUCUUUUUUCCUUUUAUAAAAGAUAACAAAGUAAUUGAAAAUGAAUAUGUUUUUUCCUUUUUUGGCUCAACAACAAUAAUUAUCAUUAAACAACAGAGUUUUACAACUUGUCUAAUUCCACAAACGAUUUUACCCAAUUUGGCACUAUAGAAUACAACUUAGGAUCAUAAUUCUCAAGAGAAAGAGAUUCCUUUGCUAUCCUAUCUGCCACUCCAUUGCCUCCACGAUGCAUGAACACAAACUUUGUUUCCUCAAAAUGCUGAAGCAAGAACUUGAUGUCUUGUAUAAUAGGGUCCAGAGUAGGCAUAUCAUCGUUAUCAACAAGAAUAGACACCAAUUGUUGGGAAUCAGAUUCAAAGAUUACCUUUCGGUAGUUGAGUCGAGAGAGUGACAACACCGCCCAACGCAACGCUUCAGCCUCAGUAACCAAGGCGGAUUGAGCCUUUGGUAUAGCCCUUGCACCCAUCCAAAGCACGUUCUUGUCGGAGUUUCUAAGCACCCAGCAAAUGCCACACUUGUUGCAUUCUGCAUUCCAAACUCCAUCUGAGUUACACUUAACCCACCCAUGUGGGAGUUGCUUCCACUUGAUCACUUGCUUCUCAGAGCUCUCUAUGAGAAAUGUAUAUGUUUAAAAUGAAUAUGUCUGAAAAUGAAUAUUUUUAAAAUGUAGUUUGAGAUGGUUUAAAAAUAUUAGUUAGAAAUAUUUUAAUUUAAAAUAAGACAUUAAAAGAAGUAUUCAAGUUAAAUUACAUUAAAAUUAUUAAAUAACACUAAAAAUACAUUAUAUUGAUGAGAGACACAAAAGUGAACCAAAAAUAAUAAAAUUAUAUUAGUGAGAGAUUCAAUAGGUAUCUCACCAAACAAAAUUUUUUAGGGGAUGCAUUCAAUAAAAAAAUUACAACCAGAAAAAGUGAAAAACUAAGGUUAGCCAAUUUUUCAGAUUGCGGGACACUCUCUCACCGUCACAACAAAAACCUCAUACCAUCUCAAAUAUAUAACGCAUAUGUACAAGAGAUUCAUAUCCAUGAAUUAGGUACGAUCCACCUACGUUUAGUUAAAAAUUUACACCUCGAGGCACUGAGAGAAGCCUGAGUUCAUAGGCAGCUUCAAAUAUGAUCCACUAUAAGUCUAUAACCAUUAUCCUAUGUAAACUCCGAAACUGAUUGAAAUUUUGUAAGUAACGAUGCUUGACCCCUUCUUUCAGAACUGAAGAGGGUUAGGUAAGGUCACUGACAAAUUAAGCAGAGGGGAUUGGGUUUAGAGCUAUAAAUAUCCGGGUAACACACUUUAUUUGGACAAAAAGGGUGUUAUUGGGAGGUGAAGAAGGAUAAGUGUUCAUUUCCGCUCAAUGGCUUCCGCUGGCAAGUUUAAAUCUAGUAAGGUGGUUUGGCUGUUUCUGUAACUUUCGUCUAUUCUAGCACGCUUCCCGGAAGAGCAACUUGUGUCUUCCGACUUCCCUGACUCCAAAGCUUGAUCGAGCCUGGACGUCCAUCCUGUAUUAAAGAGUUUGCUUUGUAAGAUUACCGGUAAGUCUCCAACCUAAUGAUGUGAAGUUUCAAGAUUUACUGCUUGUACCACAAUCCGAAGACUGACCAACAGCUUCCUUGGAAUUCUGGGAACUAUAAAAAUCAGAUGCUCGUUCUAUGCCGUUUGAUCUGUAUGGAGUAAUGUUGUGGAUGCCAAGUUGCAGAGAACCCAACAAGUCAUUCUCAAUGCAUUCAUACCUGCAAAAAGCUUGACAUGUCAGUUUCAAUAUAGGUUGUUAGCACUCUCUGAUGUCUUUUAGAUUAUUAACUAACAUAUUUUCGCAGAGUGUAUCGACCGCAACUGACAAAUUGAUGACUUGAAUCCUUAUCUGCAUGACCUUAUCAUCAGCAAAUUGAUCAAAAGGUUCCUCCAAGAACUUAGAAAGUUUCUCAACAUUAGCCUCAAGCUGCUGCUGCUGAUCCUCAAACAGAUUUUGUUUUAUUUCUCUUUCCUCAGAGCUCAUCUCAUCUUUAAACAGCUCAUCUCCAAACAUGUAAAAUGCGAAAGGGUAUGAAUAUGAAAGAACUCGUCUUGAUCUAAAUAACCGAUGGAGUCCAUUGGUAGCCCAGCUGAAGUCUUUAAGUUGUAACUCCCUCUUUUCUGAAAUAGACACCUUUUUACUAAUAUUAUUACUAAGCUUAGCCUCUAGCUUGGAGGAGUCGAUAUGUGCUUUGUAUCGGUUAUGAUAAUGCAUAUACCGCUUGAGAUCCCUUUUCGCUCUCUCCAUUUGUUUCUCUUUAUCUUCUUGGAACCGACCACAACUAUGACCCGAGAUUCUAGCCCAAGUGUGGUCCCUUCCAGUAGCUUCACCACACAACCAACUGUAUAAAGUAAUAACCAAACAAAAAGUUCAUCACCACCUGAUAUAAUGUUCACUAGAAAGCAGAGGAGAAACAAGGCUAAAAUUCAUACCAAAAAGAUUGUCGACAAAGACAAGUCACGAGAUUGCAUCCACCAUUCUUUUCAACAGGCUUGUGACAUUUGGGACACGGCUUUGUGUGAACAGUUAUCCAAUUAACAGUCUCGGACUCAUCAAAGCACUUCUUUCUCCAUAGUUCCCACAUCACACAAGAGCAAGGGGAGUGAGCUUGAGAUGAACAACUGAAACAGAACUGCAAACCACAAGAGCAUUCAACCUCACAGAGCUCGUCAUCCUCAACACGUAUGGCAUUCCCACAAUGAGGAGUACUCGGACACCACUUCACCAUUUUGUUAUCUUCGAUAUACGACUCAAGAAGAAAACGAUCAAACUUCUCAGCUAAAUCUGGUUGGCUUUUACUAACUAGAGCCCUGACAACAUCUUCAUCACAAAUAGCAUUACACUUAUGAGCCAUGCAUAUAAUCCUUUUGCUCUGACCUUCAUUUAUCUUUACAGUAAAAUGCCCAGUCCAACCUAAAACAACAAAACCAUAUUAACUAAACAACUUCAUUUCAGGAUAUCAUUAAGAAAAGGAUGAGACUCACAGUUAUUGCAAAAGCUAUGGCCACAGUCCAUCCUUGUCAGCUGAUAACCCGGUACAUCCUCUACGCAGAUAUCACAACUCAUCAUCGAAGAAGAACCAGAAACGGAAGAAUCACAACUUUGGUUUUCAAGAAGUGUAACACCAGCACCAGAAAACAAGCUAUCUUUCCCUUUCUCAACAAGAACAGCAAACAACUUCUCCACAUCCCAUCGGUAAUGUAUAAGAAGAGUCCGAGCAUGGUGCUCCUUAACCGAUAACAAUUCCAUCACUCUCCGCAAAUCCUCCCUCUACAUUGAUUCAAAAACAGUUUAGCCUUCAAAAUUGAAACUCCACAGUAUAUAUGGAUCAAAAGAAGAGUCAUUGCUCUUUCACUAACCUGUGCAGCCAAAAGUGAUUCCUUCGUAAUAACCUACAAAAUGCAGAUUCACAUUCAUGCAAACAUCAAACGCUUUUAUUCUAAUUGAACCAAUGCCACUACUCUUCUAAUCCUCUUCACAGCAUUACAGAGAUGAAAUUUCACAGUAUAACACAAAACCCUAAUUUUAACUAGAGAACAACAGAGAUCACAGAACUGAUUUUUCAAAUCAACAUUUCAACUAAGUGAUUCAAUUUCACGAAUUCGUUACAAAAUUAACAAAAUCCGAAAAAGAAUCGAGAGAAAUUUAGCUCAAAAACCUUGACAGUAUUUGAUCGGGAAGAAACAGGUAUCGAAACGGAUUCAUCAUUAUCAAUCCCGUUGAGAGAUUCCUGAUCGGAGGAGUAAUAGUAAUCUUCUUCCUCGCCGCUUAAAUUAUCAUCCAUGGAUCAAUUUUUAAACUGAUCAGAAUGAAAUUGUCGACAAAUGAUAUGAUUGACGGAAGAGAGUAUUAUAGAACGACGGAGGUGAUAAAGUACGAGAGUAAUAACGAAGGAAGAGAACGAUGACGGAGAUUUUGAGACAUGAAGGAUGUGGGAUGAUAUUUGCCGGCGAGAUCAAAAGAGGAGUGUUAAAAGGACUGAAUCAACCGGAGGAGAAGAGAAAGAGGACAUCGUUAUUUACGGACCAAACGGCACCGUUUUAUAUGAAAUCACUUUUUUUAUUUGAGUAUCUAAACAGUUUUUUUUUUUUUUUUUUUUUUUUUGUCAUCAGCAUCUUAUUGAUUUAUAAAUCAGCAGUGUAGUCACAAUGUACAGCAUAUGUUAUUACAUUAGGAACCCAGAAAUGAUUCAAGAAUAAAGAUUGGUUUUGAAGAGUACCUUUAGCAAAAAUAUCAGCUGGAGUAUUGUGAUGUCUUCUUAUCCAAUUGAAAUGGAUUGAUUCAAACUUCCUUGACCACCAAUGAAUGUCCCGUAUCCAGUUGUGAACGCCAAAAUGUACCUUGGAUCCGUUAAUUAGGUCAAACAGCAUGUUGUUAUCUUCUUCAAAGCAAACCCGUUUGUAACCAUGACUCCAACAGUGCUGCAUUGAAAUGAUUAGCGCUUGAAUUUCACUCUCCAGAGCAUUGUCCACCUUUCUUCCUAUAGCCUGCCCCGCCAGUAGAUAACUUCCAUUACUAUCCCGAACAACCCAACCUGCUUUACUUUCUACAUCACCAUUAACGAAUGAGCCAUCAAAGUUGCAUUUGAUCCAUCCUCUUCAGGUCGUCUCCAUCUGUCAUGGUUAUCCUCCUCUCUCACCCCUCUGCUACGUGUAUUUAUUUGUGCUACUGUAUUCGCCUCGGUAUACUCAUGAGCAUCAGUUUGAGCAAGACGCAAAGUAAUUUCCCAGGGAAUAUGUCUUCUUUGAAAAUAUAAAACGUUCCUGCUUUUCCAAAUCCUCCAUAGGAUCCACAACGGUAGCUGAUGGAAUUGACUUGUCCGUGGUGAAAGAGCCAUAUGAAGUAUAACACGUAUUUUAUUGACUUUUUUUAAUGAAAAUUUCAUUAUGAAAACUUGCCACAUAGACUUCAUAAAAUAAAUAAUACAUAAUUAGUAAUUAAUUCAACAUAACAACUAAAAUAGGAGUUUUUGGACUCUAAAUCCCUAUUCCUCUGGCAGCUGGAUUUGGAGGAAGCUUUGUAAACUGCGCCCUCUUGCUAGGCCCUUUCUUGUUUGUGAGAUUGGUUCAGGGGAAACGGCAAGCUUCUGGCAGGACAACUGGACCGGGCAGGGGCCUUUAAUUGAUCUGACGGGAACUAACGGUCCAAGAUCUGUGGGGAUGCCUCUUAAUGCCGUGGUAAGAGAUGCCUUGCGUGGUGAUAACUGGUGGUUGUCUUCUAGUAGAAGCAGAAACCCGUCCAUUGCUCUGUUAAAAAGUGUUCUGCCUUCGAGCGAGAGUAUGAUUGAAUGUCAGCAUGAUGAUGUCUAUAAAUGGAAGCCGGACCAUCAUGCUCCUUCAAACAUUUUCUCAGCGUCAAAAACUUGGACUGCUCUCAAUCCCGAUGGUGUUUUGGUGCCUUGGCAGAAAUCUGUUUGGUUCAAAGACAGAAUCCCGAAGCAUGCUUUUAUAUGUUGGGUGGCAGCUUGGAAGAGACUUCAUACUCGUGAUAGGUUGACUCAAUGGGGGCUUAACAUUCCUACCGUCUGUGUCUUGUGCAAUGUUGUGGAUGAGACUCAUGAUCAUUUGUUUUUCCAGUGUCAGUUCAGCAAUGAAAUCUGGAGUUUCUUCAUGAUAAGGGCGGGUAUGACUCCUCCUCAUCUUUUUGGUCCCAUUUUGCUUUGGUUGAAGUCGGCCUCUUCCUCAAAGAACCUUUCUCUUAUCAUCAAGCUCCUCUUCCAAGCUUCUGUGUAUCUGAUUUGGAGAGAGAGAAACUGUAGAAUUCAUACUACUCAUUCAAGAACCCCUCCUACUAUCAUUAAGGAGGUCCAGCAGCUUAUCCGAGCUAGGUUGGAUCCUAUCUGUCGGGAAAGACCUGUGGGGCUUUCUCGAUCAUCUCUUCUAGCUACUUGGUUCGAACUUUUCCAAGUUUAGUUCUCUUCGGCUGGUUUUGUGGACCUGCUUUCCUUCAACGUCUCCUGUGGUCCUUGGGUGCAGGUAUGGCUUCUGCGACGUGGUUUCGGUUGCUGGGUCUUCUUGGUUCUUUGGGUCUUUGUCGGCCUUUUGGCCUUUGUGGGUUUCUGUGGGCCUGCGUGCCGGGUGGGCUUUGGCCUUGUUUUUCUCCUUUCUUGUCUUUUGUUUCUUUUGUAGGGCCUGCGUGCCUGUGUUUGUUGGGGGAGUUUCCCUCUGUAAUCUGUUUUUUCUUUUAAUUGGAAAAUUAUGAAAAAAAAAAAAAAAAAAACAACUAAAAUAGGAGGAUAUAAUUAAUGAGAAUUUGAACCAUCACUCUUUCUAUAUUUUUUAAUUCAAUAUAUCCUCUUUAAUUUUGAGAUUCAAUUAAGUGGUUAAAGUGAUCAUAAAAUCCAAACAUGCUACACAUAUUCCUUGCCUAAAAAUUAGACGAUUAUUAUGAAAGAAACUAAAUGACAGAUUAAAUAUAUCUAAGCUUUUCGAGAUUUAUGCUAAGAAAACAAGUAAUUUGAAAGAUGUUUGAGGAGCUAUCCUUAUAACUAAUACGUAAGAUAUAAGAUUAUGACAAAAAUUUAACUAAACUUUCUAAGAACAUCAAGUUGAAUAUGCUUACAUUGAAUAUAUAGAGACAUGGUUAAUAAAGACAUGUUAUAUUUUUAGUGUAAGAUAUAAAUUUUCUAAAAUUUCACCGUCUCACAAUCUAAACAGAUAACAAAAAAAACAAGGAUAUAUAAAUUAAAAUAAAAAACUGAAAAUCUAAAACAACAAUAAAAAACAACUCAAGCACAUUCGUUUUCAGAUGAACUAAUAUAGUUGGACUUUUCAAAAACACUUACAAAUCAUUUUUAUGUUUCAUAACCGAUGCAUUCAACUGUACUUUAUAUGAACAGACAUUAUAUAAAACAAUUUGUAAAUAGUAAUACAUAAACCCGCACGUAGUGCGGGUACUCAUCUAGUACAGUUAAAGUGUUGUUAACAAAAAAUUAAUGUUUACAAGGAUUAAUAAUAGUGAAGAGGCUAAAUUUAGACAAUGAUAAAAAGAAAAGAAAAAUAAUCAUUUUUUAAAAAAACUUAAUAAAAGCAUUUCUAAAGAUGAUUUUUUUAUUAUGUUUGCCAAAACCUUAAAUUUGAGGUAGAAAGGUGUUAAAAAUCUUAGUAUUUUUGCAUUAUAGUCUUCACUGUUGACAGAUCAAUAAAAUUUACAUAACUAUAAAACAUACAUUAAAAAAAUCUUAAAAGCAAUAUUAGUUAAUAAAACAUUACAUUAUAAUACAAAAUUAACAAAUGAAUAUAAACAUAUAAACUAAGUGAAAAUAUACAAAAAAAAAGUUGAAAAUGUAAUGAAUUUACUGAAAUGAAUAUACUGAAAUGAAUUUUUUGGUCACUUGGUGAAAUAUGAGUAGAGUUUUAUUUUAUACAUUCUAACACAUACAAUGCUUUUAGUGCAUACAGAAAAAUUGAAAAAAAUAAUGAGAUCUUAAGAAUGAUCUUUCUUUAUUAUUUUUUUGACAACAAAUCUUUUUUUAUUUGAUAAGAAUGUUUGUAUUAUUUAAUUAUGUUUUAUUUUACAAAUUUCAACUCAUUUAAAAUUAAUUUGUCAGCCGAUAAAAUAAUAUGAGGAAAAUAUCUUAAACAAUGUUGGUUUUCAAUUUUUUUGUGAAUUUUCACUUCUUUUACUAAUUGUUUUUGUAAAUUUUUUAAUUCCAACUAAGAUAUAAAUUUGAUAUGAUGCAUAUAUUGUGUUGUAAAUAAUGUUUCUAGCUUUAAUCAAUUAAGGGUUUGAAUGGUGACGGCGGUCGGGAUGGACAAACCCGUCAGCGAUUUAGUCCACUCUAUUUUUAGGGCGGAUAUCAAAUCGCCGCAGACCAACUUUAUUUGUAUGUAAAAACGGUUUAUGGUUGGUUUGUGGAGGUUUUCUUUUAGUUUUCUUGAGUCCACACUACUACUGAUUAAAUUUGUUAAUGGUUAAUAAAAAGUAGUAUGUGGUUGGUUUGUUAUGAUUUUCUUUUAGUUUUUUUUCCGUCUACAUCACUACGGAUUAUAUUUGUGAAUGGUGAAAAAAGCGGUCCAGUCUACAAGAGGAUUUGUCCGCCUUAACCGGUGCAACCAUUCGGACCCUAAGAUGAAAUGCGUGAAAACUCUAAAAUAUGGUUUUAUGAUUAUAUAAAUAGUUAAAUUGUAUUGAAAAAUAGAAUAUGUGAUUACUCGAAUAAUAAUCUGAUACACUUUAACCGCAAAAUAGUAUAUUCGAGGUCAAUUCAUAAAGAAUAAUGGUACGCUAAUGAUUUUUGAGAGUCGCAUUUAGCUCAAUAAGAAUACUGAUUUUGGUUUUAAGACUUGUAAAUAAAAAUUCAAGAAGAAUAAAUAAAUAUUGGAUCAUAGGUUAACUCGUAAAUCAAUUAAAAACAAUUAAACACCGUUCUUGCAUGAACAAAUAAUAGACUAAUCCUCUCUGUAUCAAUCACUAAACUUGAAUAUUUGAAAACUAAACUCUCAUUUGAAAUCUCCUACUCAAAUUUGCAUAAACAAACAAGUUUCUUUAAUUCUCAACAAUUUUUAGCAUCAACUCUCAUUGGUUAGAACCACAUUGUUCAAUUUAUAAUCAUUCAGAGUUUCUAUCUAAUAUUUUUGACGCAUAUAAAAAAUUGGGAAAAAUAUCAAAAAAAGCGCGAACUUUCAAAUUUGGGACGAAAAAAACAUGAACUUUCGAAUUAUCAUUUAAAUCACAAAGUUUCGUUUGACUUUUUUAAAAAAUUGUCAAGUUUCGUUGACUUGGCCAUUUUGAGCACGUUGUUAAAUUUCUGUUAACGGAGUUAACCUUCUGUUAGAAAUUUCUGUUAAAUCGAAACGACGUCGUUUUGAAACAUCGUUUUGGACGUUUUAGACUUCCAAAACGACGUCGUUUCGUUAGAAAAUAAUGAUGCUAAAUCCGCAUUCACAUGAAAUCGAACAUAUGACCUAUUGGACUCCUAAAAGACAAUCUACCGCUGAGCUACGAGAACAGUUUGAUAAAAAAAACAAACAUAGCAUAUAUAUAGUAACAAAUAAAACUACACAAUUAAUUGAAAAUAUAUACAAUAAAUUAAAAAUUACAAAACCACAAAAAAACAAAUAUGUACAAAGUUUUUAAAUAUACCUACCAUACAUAUAUAUUUUGAAAUUUGAAAUAUUAAUUUUCUAUAUAGAUGUUUUCUAUAUUUGAGAAAUUAUUUUUAAUUUUCAAUUUUUCUGUAUUCCAAAUAAAAAAUAACAAUAGAAAAGACUUAUGCAAAUUAUUUUCAAUUUUCAGUUUUUCAGUUUUUAUCUAUUCCAAAAAUACAGAAGAUGUCUUUAUAUAUAUAAUUAAAUAUUUGAAAUUUAAAAUAUAUUAUGGUAAGUUUAUUUAAUUUUUUUUAUUUAAUUUUGUUAUUUUUAAUUUAUUGCAUAUAUUUUUUAAUUAAUAGUAUAUUAUAUUUGUUAGUAUAUGUAUGCAAUGUUUGCUAUUAUUGUAAAUUAUUGUCGUAGCUCAGCGGUAUGAGUCCAAUAGGUCAUAUGUUCGAGUCUUUGUGGACGCGGAUUUUGCAUCAUUAUUUUCUAAUGAAACGACGUCGUUUUGGAGAUCUAAAAACGACGUCGUUUUGAUUUAACAGAAAGUUAAAGUGUCCAAAAUGGCCAAGUCAACGAAACUUGACAAUUUUUUAAAAAAGUCAAACGAAACUUUGUGAUUUAAAUGAUAUUUCGAAAGUUCACACUUUUUUCGUCCCAAAUUUGAAAAUUCGCGCUUUUUUGACAUUUUUUCCAU